UGCAAAACUGCAGCAGGAUUGCAGAAGUAAUGUUCCCUGAGAAUCAUCUGUUUGCAUUCCUUCCUAUGGGCACAAAAGAAUACAUGGUACGCUUCUGUGGCCCUGCUGAAAAUAACUGAAUCCCAGGUAUCUGUUGAGUGACUCUGUAGGGUGCAGCGUUUUCACCAAAGUGCUGCAGCACUAAGGGCUGAUACAGUGUUCAAAAGCCUUUAAGACAGACUCCAAGGCUUCCUGCUAGGAAGUCUUCCAGCGAGUUUUUUUUCAGGUGUGACAUGAGAAUUGAGCUGCAUUUGAUUGAAUAGCAGCUAGCUCCUCCUUAGGACGGAUAAGUAUCAAGUAGAAGAAGAAAAUGAGCAAGAAGCUAGUUUCUACAGUGAACAAAAAGCAGCUCUCAUCUUUUGUGUGGUGGUGAAAGUCAAACUUUCAGAAGGUACGUGUAACUCUACUUGUAAAAACAGGUAUUUUUCUAAGAUGUAAUCUUUUUCUUUGGUCCUUGCAUUCACAAUCCAGCAUGAAAAUAAAUCAUAACUGCAAUGAGACUGGUGGUAUAUUUCCAUUUUUUAUUAUUUUAGUGAUAUAAAGGUAUUUUGAUGGUGCUUAAUUUCAUGCUUAAAGCAGAAGUUCUAGUAGUAAAUGUAUUUGUUAUCUGAAAUUUGUCUUCAUAUUUAGGUCUAAGUAAUUAUUUUUUCAGAAGUUUAAAUCUGAAGGUCCAUGCUUUUUGGAUAGCUUUUGUUUAUGACAUUGACACAGCCUCCUCUUAAACAUUUAUUCUCUCAUAGGAAUUGUAUUGACUAGACUUCAACCCAUAGCUUAAAGCCAUCAGUAGUGAUGUGCUCUAGAGCAGAUGAGUAGGAUGUGCAAUCAAAAAUACAUUUUCUACGGCACCAAAAUGAAGUUAUUCAUUGCUACUGCAGCUGUUACAUAUGUAGUAAAGUAGCUGAUUAACAUAAUUAGUUUAAACUAAGAUAAAUUGUUUUUAACCUGUAUUUAGUUUGGAGUUGUUGUUUAGUUAUGGGAGAUGGUAAGACUCUGUGCCCAAAAGCUUUUCUACGUUUUUUUUGAGUAUCAGUUGUUCUAUAAAUACAAUUUCUGCUUCUCUGCUGUGUAGAACAAACUUCAUUGUACAGACAUAGGGAAUUAAAUAAACUAUUGUAUAGUUCUCCGGAGGAUAAUCAAAUGGAAGAGUUAAAAUCAGACUGAAAAAAAUGAAGUAAUUGUAAGUGGAUAAGGAAAAAAAGUUGAAUAUUUUCAAUAGGAGAAAUAAUAUAAAGAAAGAGGCAAGUAGAUAAAAUGGUCAACUUUUCCAGCUAACAAAUAUUCUAAGAUUCACUAGUCUGUACAAAAAUAUCUGUUAACAUCAACAGAAUUAACAUCUUUAGAUGCUGACAUAAUUAGAAUGUGUUUAGGCCUAUUUGGACCUUUGCACCAAGUAGGCCUCCAGGUUCAUUUCUAGGGAAUAAAAAGUAUCUCUUCCCAUUGCUGUGGAAGAGCUAGUGCUUUCCAGUUAUCCUAAUAGAAUAUAGACCAUAGAGAUUUGAAUGUUAAAGUUAAAUGAGAAAAUAAAGGUAUGUAACUUAUCUAGACAUAGAUAAACACACUCUCAAUUUUAUUUUAUUUGCUUUUGAAGUUUCUCUUCAAUGUAUAUGGGUCAGAUGCCAUCACUGAGCAUCUCACUGAUUACUAUUUAUAAUCUGAGAAUACUCAUUAUAUUAUGUAGGUGUGCACAAAGUCAAAGCUGCUUGUCUUGGCAGAUACAAGUUGUUUGUUUGUUUUUAACUGCAGCAGAGACAUUUAGCACUGUGCUUGCCUGGUAACAUAGGAAACAAUACAAGACCUUGGCAUCCAAAAAGAUUAGACUGUCUGAGCUGACUGGCUCAUAAAAACUAUGCUGCAGAAACUGGCAAAGAAAACAAGUCUCUGAAAUUCUAAACAAGUAUUUUAAAGACAACAAAAUAAUAUAAAGGGUCAUAUUCGCUGCUUACGUGCUUGAAAUAACGUAUCAUGCAGUUAUACCCCUAUAAAAAGGAAAUGCACAACGAAAUGUAUUUAAAAAGCCUUUUUGUUAGUUGAGUUUGCUCUCUAGCAGUGGUUACACACAAGUGAUCUACUACGAUUUUUAAAUACUUUUUAUCAGAUUUCAUCCUAUUGAAUCACAAAUGUAUUUUUGUUAAUAUAAUGCUACUGAAUAUUAAAGAAAAAAUCAAUUUUUCCUAUCUAAAACUGUCAUUUCAGUCUACAAUAGGCAGUUAUUUAAGCCUAUUGUUGUUUUGGAAGUACUUGUCUGAAAUUUCUUCAAAAUAUGCUACUAACAUAUGCAGAAAAAACCAAGAAAGCGCUAAUAUUGAAGAUUUAUGCUGUGAAAUUUGGGUGAAUUUGCAUAUGACAUUUCCUAAGAUACAUGAAAUGUAAUGAAAAUUCAGCAAUGUUAAUAAUGCUUCCUCUACAAAGAACACCUGAUGUUAGUAAAGAGAGUACAUGACAGUAAUUACAACAAAAGUAAAUCUAGGCAGUAGGCUGAAUAGAAACAAAGAUACAAAUAUAUGUACACAUUUGCCUAUUGCAAACAGGAAAAAUGUAUUUUUUUUCAUAAUACUUAUAAUUAGGCACAAUAGCUGAGGCAGACACAUCACCCUUGAUUGUAGGGAUGUGUUUUGUCUAAUAGAUUUCUAACCUGGGGUUUUGGGAAAAACGUACCUGCAAGGAUAAUUCCUUCAACUCAGAAAUUUUAGAAUCUGUGUGUACCCAGUUGAUGAAGGAAGAAAGUUAGAAAAUUAAGAUGAUAUAUGUCUGUUAUAUAGCUAAAAUCAGAUGUAUCUAAAGCCUAGUAUUUACAUAAAAUGUUGUAUUCCAUAUUCUAAGUAUGGAAAUUAGAAUGUCUGAUCAGUGGCAAAUAAAACAAAUCCAGCCCCCCUCCUCUCCCACUAAGCAGGGCUACUAAGCCCUUCAGAAUAGUUUUUGCUUGCCAGGAUGCACCUGGUUGUGUUUUGUCUUUCAUGCCAGCUUCCUGUCAGAGGGGUAUAGAGAGGCUGACAUUUGAUGUAUGCAAAAGAACAAAGAAUAGGUUUUGCAUCAAAGCCAAGUUGGCAAAUAUUGUUGUUUCCUGUGACAAGUUUUGCUUAACUAGCGCAAGAACCAGCCAUGCAGAGAAGUGUGCUCCUAUAGUGCAAAACAGAAUCUAUUUAAGAAGGUAAGAACAGUUGCUGGGUUUUCACUUCCCUUUCCUCACUCUUUUGCUAAAUGCUGCAUUGGCACGUCACUUUCUUUUCUGUGACAAGUCUUUCGGAAAGCUAACAGGGAGCCAACUGUGCUUAGGCAUGUGCACCUGUACCAUAGAGAAACCAAAUGAAAACAUUAAAUAAUGUUUCCCUUUAUGCAGGAGAAACAUCAACAGCAAAAAGAUGCUGCAAGGAGCACUGCCACAAUACAGAAAAAUUGAUAGAUUUGUCUCUUCAUGAGAAAAGAAAAUUUUAUGAACUGGGAGGAGGUGUCUUGGUUUUGUUGGUGUGUGUGUGUGUUUACCUGUUAAGUGCUUAUAUCUGAAUAACUUCUGGCUGCAACAAACGAAGAAACAAUUAUGUCAGCUUGUCCUUGGCACUGGCUGGGCACAUGUGUUCUGGGCUGCCUUAAAAAAGGAGUGGCCAGCAGGGAGAGGGAGGUGAUUGUCCCCCUUUACUCAGCUCUUGUGAGGCCCCAUCUGGAGUUCUGCAUCCAGGCCUGGGGCCCCCAGUACAAGAAGGAUGUGGAGCAUUUGGAGCAGGUCCAGAGGAGGGCCACUAAGAUGAUCAGAGGGCUGGAGCACCUCUCCUAUGAGGAAAGGUUGAGGGAACUGGGCUUGUUUAGCUUGGAGAAGAGAAGGCUCCAGGGAGACCUCAUUGCGGUCUUCCGGUACUUGAAGGGAGCGUAUAAACAGGAAGGGGAAUGGCUGUUUACGAGGGUGGAUAGUGAUAGGACAAGGGGGAAUGGUUUUAAAAUGAGAUGGGAGGUUUAGGUUAGAUGUUAGGAGGAAGUUUUUCACGCAGAGGGUGGUGACACACUGGAACAGGUUUCCCAAGGAGGUUGUGGAUGCCCUGGAGGCAUUCAAGGCCAGGCUGGAUGUGGCUUUGGACAGCCUGGUCUGGUGGUUGGCGACCCUGCACAUAGCAGGGGAGUUGAAACUCGAUUGUUGUGGUCCUUUUCAACCCAGGCUGUUCUACAAAGGAAGACUAUAUGCUUGGAACUAGUACUUCAGUGUGAAGGGCAUACUGGAAUGACCUUGGUGACAUCCCUGGGUCUCUCUUUUACUUGGACACCUCCUGCAACUUGAUCAUCCACAUUGUAAAGUCACACAAACCUGGCAGUGCCAUUUCUAAAAGGAAAAGUGAUAAAACCUAUCUUCCAGCAAAUUCUUUCAGUAUUCAGUAGGUCCUUCUAUGCAUAUUUCAACCUCAUUUCUCACUUAGGUUUCACAAGUUUUCUCCAACCUGCACCACUGGUUUUGACAAUUUCUUCCUCAUUUUUAAUUCAUUGUAUGCUGGACUUUGCCACCACUGUGUGCACUCCCCAUCUUCAAGACUAAGUUGCCAUGUGUCUGUGACUUGAUUGCAGCUGGCUUAGUCUGCCUGACAUGCUUAAGAGGUGAUGCUAGAAUUGGGAUUUGUUUUCCAGGUUUGUCAGCUUUCUGCUUUCUAGAAAGGCCUUCAAGUCAGGAAAUUUCCUGAAACGUUCUAAAAGAUCAUGGGUGGCUGUAGUUAGAAGCAACUUAAAGUAAUAGCAACUUUAAUAAUAGCAUUGGUAGAAAUUUAUGAGAAACUUUUAAAGCCAGAAAGUUGGAGGCAGGUACAACGAUGAUUUCAGUCUGUGAUGAUAAGCAUCUUUAGUAGAAAUCUUCAAAACAGAUGACCUCAGAUGUACAUUCAGACAUUAGAAAUGUGCACAGGUAAUUAGCAGCAUGGAUGUUGGUAAGCAGUAAAUGGAUAGUUCCGCUGCAUAUGAUUAUGCACCUUACUGUAAAUAGGAAUUGUGGGUUGUUUUAUUUAUUUGGUAUUUCUACAUCAUUUACUCUACAUUUUCUCCUCAGCUUUAGUCUUCGCAUCACAAACAUUCUAAAAAUUCUGGAAUAUACUCCUCUUACUAUGACUUUGUUCACCUCUUUUUCUAAGUUCUGCCAGUUUUCUCUCCUUAGUGUAUUCUAGAGUAAUUUACCUGUGAUGACAGAAAUAAACCUAGAAAAUAUGAUGGAAUUUUCCUAAUCUUCCAAAGUUUGCCUUUGGAUUCAAUGAUGUUGUAGGUCCCUUGAAGUGACCACAGAUCCAGACACACUUCUGGUCUCCCCAGGUAGGGUAUUUCUCAUGUGCUUGGGCAGGCUAUCACGGACACCUGGUCAAUUAACAAUGCUCACAGCUCACUGGGACUGAUCAUGUCUCUCAAGAGCCACUAUAAUAUGUCUGUAGACAUAUGGCAUCUCUUCAAAACAGUUUCUACAUAAGCAUAUGUUUUUAACACUUUUUCUCCUCCUUUGAACGAGAGCUUUAAAGACUUCAGACAUUUCAGCUGUGAUUUAUUUUUCAUUUGCCCUAACUAAUAUUACUAGUGGUCCUAGGGAUUUUCUUGGGCUUUUGCCCACUCUAGUUUUCACAGUUUUUGAGAAUCCAGAGAUAUUUCAUAGAAGUACUCAAAAUUGUUCUCUAAGCUCACACUCAUCAUGGUGAAGACAUAGAAUACUACUGCCUCUUUGUCUUGCACAGUAUGGAAUUCAGUGCUACUUUUUUCUGGCAUUACAACCACCUGUUCAACACAGGUUACUCACCCUUCUGCAUUAUCAAGAUUGUAUUUUUCCUCCCUGAGAAAUAGCAGUUAUAAUAGACUAUUUUCAAAAUGACAGCUUAAGUGGCUUCAUGGUUCCUUAAUCUCUAUUCAGAAGUCUUGUCUCCCUGCAUAUUUUUAUUGCUUUCUUUAAAAAGCAGCUUGUGAGAAAGGUAAUACAUUAUUAAUGCUACAUGUCAUCAAAUAAAAUAAAUACUCACUUUUUGAAGAACCUGAUCCACUAAUCAAGAUUAAAUGAAUGCAUCUGAAUUAUUCAAAGAACCUCAAAUAGUGCAACUUGUACUCAAAUCAAAUAUAGUGAAGAGAAUAUUCACAAUAUAACAAAAAGAAUCUCUAAGUAACAUUAACUACUCAAUUUUCACAACAGGAAAUGGGAUUGUUAUAUUUAUUUUUAAUCAGUGCAAAUAUUUUACCCUUCUUGAAGGGCAAAAAGGUCCACGGUAGGUUUCUGCACUUUCUUACAUUUGCCAUUAUGAAAUAGCCUUCUAAAUAAAUGUUUCUGUUCAUAAGAACAAAGUUAUCCAACACAGAAGAGAUUCUGAUUUUAUUCCUUGCUGUUUCUGUGAUCUAAUGCUUAAUUCUCAAGAUAAUCAAUUUUUCCUCCUCAAUUUCAUUUUGCCACCUCAACAUGUACGCAGUUUCCUAGUAUUUUGCCAUCAGUGAAAUCUCUUCAAGGGAGAAAGAGGAAGAAGUGAUCAAGAAGGCGUAAAUAUUAUCUUUCGACGUAUGAAAAGUAAGAGCAUAGUACUUCAGGCAUACUCAUAGUGGCUGACUUCAUGUCACUGAGGCUGAUAAGCUAAAGAGCUGCUAGAAUAGUUUUGAACAAUCUUUAUGAAAUUAGAAUUUUGAUUAAACAAACCUGAAAGCUAAUGUUGAAGAACCAUGUUUUGGACAUCCAAAUAUUACCUAUUUCCAUAUGCUACAAUAUAGAUCCUGUGGCUACUUUUUAAUGAAAACAGCAACCUGGAAGUUGCAUACUUUUAAAUGUGUUUUGAAGAUUGAAUAUCCAGUUUGAAGCCUGAGAUUUGGCAGACGUGUCUAAAUCCACAGUCCUAUGCCAAGGGAUGCCAUGUUUAUGCUCAGAUCUUCUAGUAAGUUUGAGAACUCAAAACUGAUCUGAUUCCGAUUGAAAUCAAUGGGUUGUUUCCACUGAGUUUAGUGGCCAUAUGUUCAAAACAAAUGUGGUUUGUAUUUUGUGACAAAAAGAGAAUUUUUUCAUCUCAGAUACUCUUUUCCCAAGGCGAAAGUGACAAGCUGGAGCUAUGGGAUUUACACAUAAACCCCUUUUGUUUAGUCCUGAAGGAAUCAAAUUUCUCCAAAUAUGCCUAUGUCCCCAUUAGUUUUAUGUGCGGCAUCUCUGGAAUAAAGAUAUCUUAUCUGCUUGUAUUUCAAAACAUUGAAGAAGUCUGCAAUAUUGUGAAGAAAGGCCUGUUCUUCCUGGAGUAUAUGCAAAUUUUCUUCAGAGCUUAAUCUGAAAAAGUGAAAUAUUUCUAUACUGCUUAACUGAAAUGUAAGAAAGAGCCACUUAGGUAUUAAUAUAUUUUUCUACCCAGUUUUGAUAAUGUUGAAAUGCUAUUUUGAUAUAUUUUAUUUAAAAUAUUUUCAGUUAGCAGUAGGUAAGUGAUACCUAUUUAUCUAUAUUCAUACACAGAAGUACUUUUUCAUUAUGGUGUAAGCCAGUCAAAGCAAAGCCAGAGAGAAUGUAUUUGUCAUACCUUGCAUUCAAUCUAAUCUGUUUUUCCACUGAUGUGUAUUCAUCAUAAAUCUAGCAAAACAUGCUGAAAUGCAUUGGAAGGACAACCUCAAUAACGUCAGUAGAUUUAUGUGGUAGCAAGACUAGAUUUUAACAGCAACAUUACUUUCCAUUUCAAACCUAUGAUUUCUGCUUCAGUUUGAGCGAGUUGUCUGACAAAACAUUUUCUUGUUUCAAAUAUGGCAGACAGGUGAAUGAUUAAAUUGGUGGAAUGCUACAGAUAAAAUGUCAGGCACAGUCUUUAUCCAGAUGAUUUUUCUUAAUGUAUCCUUGAAAGAAAUACUGAUCAUCCCAAUUAAAUCUUAAGUCCUUGCCCCAUGCACUUUUGCUUGGGGCUGGAAUUUACAGGAGCUGAGAUAUCAGAACAAAACCUCAUUGAAAUCCACCAAAAGAUAUUCAUUAACUUUUGUUGGGCCCUGAGUCAUAUACUAAAUGAUUAAGACUUCUUUCAUAGAAGUGUAAAAUGUUUAAUUUUUUCCUAGUUAUUAUUAUAGGUAUACCUACUGUAUUAAUACUUGUUGAAAAAUAACAGCACUGUUUAGUAAAAGCUAUUCAGAAUUAACAUUUGCAUUGAAGAUUAGUUCUCUUUUUUCUUAAUUUCAGUAUUUGGGAGUAUGUUGGUUGCCUUGCUGUUAGUACCCUACAGGUUGUCAUUUUCUUUUCGGACUAUUAUGCCAAAGAUAAAAUAAACAAUUUAUUUCCUCUAUAUUUUUAUACAGAGAUACAUCCUCAGAAAAAAAUUACAAGCCUAGUAAGUCUGUCAGAGUGUUACAGUACCUUCUUAUGCAGUGAUUUUGAGAUCAGCAUUUAGCAAAUGCUUGUCAAAUCUCUAGUAGAGGCUGAACAGGGGAGCUAUACAGAAGUAGCUCUGCCUGGAAGAAGGAAUGGCUGCCUGGCAGAGAACCAUCUUCUAGGAUGAAUUUGGUGAAUUCUGAUUAUGUAAAGGUUUUGGGAGAGAUUCAAAACCUAAUAGAAAUCAUUUCUAAAAAACAAUUUCUUUUUAAGUAUAAUAUAGAGAUCACAAAGCAUUGAUAGGACGUAGAAAAAUAUUUCAGCCUCCUGUCUUAUCGGUCAGUCUUAAAGUAUAAUUGACCAAGCCGCACAACAUGGCAUGAAUCAUUAGGGUGACUUUAUCUUGUCUUCACUCAUUUCUUUCUUGUUAUAUCUCACAGGUCUGAGAUGGGCAGCUAUUUUUAAUACUGAAAGCUCUCAUAUGUCAAGUUCUAUGUGAACUAAUACUGUUCGCCAUCAUAUUCAACAUCUGUCAGAUUAACAGUGGAUAGCAUGAGGUGUUCCAGAUUCAAACGCUACUGACACUUGACGAUAGAGCUCAUCUAUCAGGAGCAAACACAGCACCAAUCAGGUCCCUGAGUGACUGGAAUGUGCACAGAUGAGAGGCUGUCUCAGGGCUCUCAGAAAACCUAAUAUUUGAACCUUUUCUCAAAAGCAGAUGUAGGUGCAGCACAGCUUUGUCCAGCAAAGCUUAGAUCUUUUCAAGGCCCACACUUAUUCUGCAUUCAUAGGCUCAUUUGGUCCUGUCACUCAGUCACAAGAUGUUUAAGUGGCAAUUAGCUCAUGGGUUGAGUAAGCAGAAAAUUAUGAGGGGUCUCUAACAGGCAAAGAGGAAUUAAUUUCUCAUCAAAGACCUAGACCAAAACCAGCAAGAGCUCAAGGCACACAAAAGGAGGUGGCUCUUCAUGUGGUUGCAGUUCACAUCUAGCAUUUCCAAGUACCGCUUAGAGCUUAAUCAGUUCAAAGGACACAAUGAAUUACCAGAUGAGAAAUUCUCUGUGUUAUUAAAUGUCAUUCCCGACCAACAACGUCAGCUCAGGAACAGCUGAAUCUCCAAAUGUCAGGAGAAAGCAUUGUACCUGCUUCAGCACUUUCCUGACAUCGUGCCAAGGUGUACACCCAGUGGGGUCAUGAGACCUUUGGGUUUACUAGCUACCAGCUUGCAUAACAUUCUUAUUCAAUGCCAUUCCAUUGUUUUAUCAACUUGACUUUCUUUUUCUGCACUGCUGCUUUUGAUUGCUUCUGGAAGGUUCUAGAAGCUUCUGGAGCCUGUGGAGUCUGUGUCACUGGUGACUGAUUGUUAGCUGAUUUCUGACUGGGAGAGAUGUCUUCAGGCUGGUCUUUGGCUGCUGGUUGCUUGCUUGAUUUGGUGGCAACAUGUGGACUCAUCUCUAGCAGUGAGCAGCAGCCUGCUCUGCAGGCACAUGACAGAGGGCUGGAUAGUGCCCUCCAGAGGGGCUGCUGAAGUGCUGGUGCCCACUGAUGGGCUCAGCUCCCAGUAUGCCUGAGAUCACGCUGUCUGGCAGGGCAGAGAGGGCUCAAGGCCUUCUCCCAGGCCACUUGAACUGUCUUGAGCAGAGUUGCAUGUUCUGGCCAGGUAUGUGGGGAUGAAAAUGCAUCUUUCAGACUUGAAGUUUACUAUAGAAAACUUUGAAGAAAUAAAACCACCUCUGUUCUAGUUAUUUUUAUGAUCUGGACUUCCUCUUUGUUCCUUACAAUCAGUGCUGUGCUAUGUUACUGCUACAGAACCUUGUUAAGGAUUCAAGUCUAUGUGAAAAGGAAGAUCACCCUGAAGGGCUGAUACUUAAUACUGGCAAUGGGCUGAUCUUUGGCUGUCGUGGCCUCUUUUCUUGUCUUUAGGAGAGUCAGAGAAAUUGAUUUCUUCAGCAUUAGGAAAUGAAGGCUAAAGGAUGACCUUGUUGCUGUCUACAGCUACCCAUUGUGAAGAUGCAGAAAGGGCAGAGGCAGGCUCUUCUUGGAGAUCCACAGGGAGGACAGAUUGAGAAAAAAAAAAUGGAAAAAGUUGAAACACAGGAUGUUCCAAGUAGGAACGAGGAUUUAUUUAUCACCAUAUGAUAACCACAUGCAUCAGUACAGUGAGGACAUAACCUGCUGAAGAGGAACUCUGCAGAGAAGGAUCUAGGGCUCUUGUUGGUCUACAGAUUGGCCAUUAGCCAACAGCGUGCCCUUGUGAGCCAGUGAUAUUCUGGGGUGUGUUAUCAAGAGUGUAGCCAGCAGAUUGAGAGAGAUGGUCAUUGCCCUCUGCUCUGCCCUGGUGAGGCCAGGCAUUUUCUUAUUUCUUUAUGUAUAUUUUUCUCAUGUUAAAAUCUGCAUUUUUAAAUUGUUUGACAACAAAAGCAAACCAUUUUGUUCACAUCCCUAAGGCAGAGAGAGGGAGGUAACUAACCAGUGCAAUAGGGCAUUAGGAGUAUACUAUGUGUACAGCUAUACGAAUAGUUAAAAUCUUACUCUGCAUGGUUUGCUAUAGCUUCUUUUUCAGACUUCAUUCUUAAAAGAUUUCCAUAAUAACCACAGGUUCACUGCCCUUUUUUUGCAUUCAUUAUUUAAAAUAUAAACUUCAUUUACUCAUGUGUCUGUACUAUUUGAAAAAGACCAGGGAAGAUGUAUCUUCCUAUUACAACUGCAGUGCUUAGCUUACAUUGCUAUGCCUCUUUGGAUUUCUGGAAAAGUAAACUAAGGUGUUGAAGAAAAAAAAAGAGGAAAUACCUUUCUGGUGCCCUCUAUGAUUUAAUUUCUGGGGAAGCAAAAGUAUCAAGAACAGCACGCUUUGGGUUGUGUGUUACUGUAUCCUAUGUUGUUUCAGAUGGAACAUCCCACACAGUAAAUACACAACAUGUGAUCUAGAAUUAGAGCUUUUAAUAAACUGAAGAUCUUCUUCCUAUGAGCAUCAGCGUAUCAGUUGAGCUGUGUAGUAUCAAAAUUCAAAAUCACACAAGAAAGGUGUCAGACUCAGUGGAGGAGUUUUGGAAAGACAAAGCAUAGCCUCAGAUCAGUAUGAGUCUUCUGGGAUUUUAUAGUUUCCCUGAGAUGAAUUUCAUUCAAUAUAUGUUGCUGUCUGAGAAAAGAUCCUGAAAUAGUGUAAAUAAUAGUCUCACAGAAGCAACUACCCACUCAUAGUGCAGGUGUUUUUAGAGGCUUAUAGGGCAGUUUUAUUGAUUUGGUAGCAUUUCUUUGUCAAGCCUUUUGGCAAAGGGGUUGUCAUAAGGAAAAAGAAGUAGCCAUUAUAAUGUGGUUUUUUAAAAUUUAUUAUUUAAUUAAUCUUUGCUAUCAGGUCCCAUAAUAUACAGAAACCCGCUCUUCUUCAUCCUGUUCUAGUUCCCUGAAUAUUUCUGUAUGUAGCAGAAAACAGAGACAAUUAUUAUCAAAGGAUAAUGAUUUUUAUUAUGUCAUUAUUAAAGAAAUAAAGGGAUGUCAUUAUCUCUGGUAACACAGGAUGUCUGUUCCAUUUGUUGUCAUACCUUCUUGCAUUGGUGUCAGGUCUAGGGCUUUGUUUAGGAUUCCAGUUACAGGUCAGUCCAGAAAGCAGUAUAAGUAUAGGAGUAGGUGCCCUCUGGCAUGUGCUGAAGGCCAGGCCAGGCUUCUGGUCAACAGGGAACAGGGAUACAGUAGAUUUCCCUCCAGUAGCCCCCCAGAAGGUUGUGUACACUGAACACGGAUCACAGUCUGAGAAAGUGUCAGGCAGGUUACAUGUCACUGGAGAUUAGGACCCCAUAAGGACAUUUUCCAGAGUAUCUGUGAAUAGAUGCUUGGAGAAAAGAAAGACAAGGCACCUCUCAUAGUUGAGUUUGACAACAAGUACUCUGGUUUCAAUUGUUUUUGCUUUGGAUACUUAGUUAACCAAGUGUAAUCCCUGAUUAAUAUAGGAUUUCUCUUCUGCAGGUUCAUCCAGACUCUUACUGAACCCAUAUAAACUUCUGGCAUUAAUGAUGUUCUUUGGCGAGGAGUUAUAUAUCCUAAUGACAUAUUGCAUUAAUAUUAGAAUGAUGUAGGUUGGAACCUGAAUCCUGGUUAUCUACUUGAUGCCAUCUAGUUCUCAUACAACAAACAAACAAACAAAUAAAUAAAUAUCAGUGAACAAAUUGAUACAAAGCCACCUCAACACCAAUCACAGUUACAGACUUGUGUUGUAUCCUCUCUUAGUCUUCUCUUUACCAGGCUCAAGAGCCUUCAGUUAUUUGAUCAUUCCUCAUGAGGAAGACUUUUCAUAGAUUUAAUAAUGCUUAAUGCUCUCCUCUGAACCUUUUCAAGGUCAAUUUUUAUUCCUUGAGAUGGGAGGACCAGAACUAUACACAGUAUUCAAGAUAUCAAGGAAUAGUGUAUUACCCUGGUUGCUUGGGCUGCUUUCUCUUUGUGUUGUUAUACAAAUGGUUAAAAUUUGCCUUGUCUUUUGGACUGCUGCUCUGCUCAUAUUUUCAUGGAACUAUGUAUAAUAACUCCCAAUGUCUUUGUCCUGAGUGCUAAUAGCCCAACAUGCAUCACUUUUCCUCUUUGAGUUUUUUUCUGGCUUUAGUGCCCAGCUGCUCCAUCUUAAAGUCUUUCUGCAGUUCUUUGCAGUUACUCUUUGUCCUUAAUGCUUUGAAUGACUUCAUAAUGUUGAACUUCUGUCGCAUAGGUGCUCAUUCCCUUUUCCUCUUUUGAAUGUUCAGUAGUCACAAUACAGAUUCCUGCAGAAUGCCAUUAGUGACCUCUUUUCUUCAUGAGGGCAGAUCAUUUACUCCUACAUUUUGUUUCCUAUCUUUAACCAAUCAUUUAUCUGUGACGUUCCCUCUUAUGCUAUGGCUUCUUAGUUUCCUUCAAAGCCUUGAUGGAGAAUUUUGUUGAAAGCCUCUUUGAAGUACUUGAAGACUUUUAUCAUCUGGAUCACUUUAACUGCAUAGAGGUGACAUUGUUGGAGACUUCCUUUAGGUUUAUGAGGGGCAAUUUCCUUUAAUAGAAGGCAAUGUUGACUCUCUAAAAGUACAUUAUUUUUAUCCAGAUGUCCAUUAUCAGGGUUUUUUUUUUUUUUUUUUUUUUUUUAUGAUUUCUACAGAUGUCAGACUUCCAGACACUAUUUCUCAAGUCUCUCCUGUCAUCUUUCUAAAAUUUGGUACCAUGUUCCACCCCCCAACCCCAAUACUUAGAUGCUGAAGUGAUUUAAAUGAAAGAUUAUUUACUUCUGUGAAUAAUUUGGCUCUUGAAGUCUUGGAUGAGUACCACUUAGUCCUUGUGACUUGAUGCUAUUCGUAAUGUCAAAACAUUCAGCAAACGAUUUGUAGUCACUUCAGUUUCAGACAGAUCCUUUGAGCCCUCUACAGAGAAUGAUUCCGGUGCAAGUAUCUCUUCUGUCUCUGCCACAGGGACCGUAUGUGAAGAAUACUGCUUCUCAGAAAUAGUGUUAUCUUCUCUAAAUGUUUCUGUUGGAGUAUGGGUGUUGACCUUACAGACUUUUUUCAGAAAGAUUUCUGUUGUUGAUGUAUGUGGAAAAAAACAUCUAUUUCUUAUGGUUUGUUUUUUUUUUUUUUCCUCUUUUCUUUUGAAUUCUUACUUGGUUGCCGAACAGUGUUUGCAUGCUUAAUAUACCAAAGUUUAGCAUUACUUCUGUAUUCUUCAUUUUUAAAGGGGUUCCUUAUUUUGUCCAAUGCACUGUAAGGAGUGCCACAACAUUUUAAAGAACUCUAAGAAAAUUGAAAUGUGUUUGAAUAAAAUAAGAAUGCUUACUUCCACUUCUGUAUUUAAUUUGAUUCUUUUUAAGGAUCAUUUUUUUCAAAAUUCCCUCUUUUUUGUACAAUAGUCUGUAUAAUGCCAGGCACAUAAAUGAAUAUGUACUUUGCUGAAUAGGGAAGGAUUAAAUUAGAUACUUAAAUGUUUUGCUGAAUAAGGGUCUAAUAAAUCUUUUUUUCCUAACACUUUAAGUGCCUCAACACCUUGAAGAUUCCACUUAAAUCUAGUUGAAUACAUCAAAACUCAAUUUAGCAGACUGGUGUUACUCAUUUAACUAGUACUUAGAGUCAGGCACACUUUCUUUUUCUUUACGAUGUAGUAUUCAUUGCUACCUAAAAUUAUCCUGAAACCUGUUUUCCUUCAAUUGCUAUUGUGUUUUUAGCCUUACAAAUCAAGGGAUUUGAAAUGGUUAUCAUGUUCUUCUAUUCGUUAAUGUUCAUUAAUUGUAACACCACUGUUCCGAUAGAGAUUUAUUGGUAAACUGAAACUCUCAUUUCCAUCUUGACUGACUAGUUUUAGAUUUGCAGUGGCUUGUCUAAGUCUCAGGUCUUUCCUUUCAAUUAGUUUCCCUAGGGUUCUGAAGUUUUAUCAGAUAGUGGAAUAGUAAACAGUUGUUCAGACUUCAAGCCCUAAUGCUUCUGAUUAAAGCCACAAAAGAUUUGCUUUCCUGUCACAACUUACAAUUGAAGUAAACAUGCCAAUUCAGGGGUUUAUACAUAAAGAGAUUCUUCUUUGUAUAAAUCAAAAACAAAGCCUUAUAUUUAUUCAGCCUGCUUUCUUCAGAGAUUAAAUGAACUUGGAAUAUAAACUGCUUACUUCACAGCUAUUUACUUGGUUUACUAUAAUUUACCAAGGCUUUUUAACAGUAUAUUCCGCAUCUCAGGCUAAAUGCAAAAUAGCUCUUCAGACAUGUAGCAACCAGUUACUUUGCUUAACAUUAAAUCUGAGUCUCAAACAUUCUUACCUAGACAGAAUUACUAGUUAAAUGUUUUUAGUUCUGGUGUGAUACACUAAAAACAAACAAACAAACAAAUAAAAGGAUUUUAGAAUCAUCCUAAAGAGCUGAAAUUCUGUUCUGCUUUGUUGAAACUUCUUACACUGUUAUCUUGGUAACUCUCUCAAGAACAAAUGUGUUGAAAACGGGUCUUGCCUAACGUGUAUAGGAGAGUCUGGGACUGUAACUUGUUUAGUUCUACAAUGAAAGAAAGGUUGUACAUUCAGUUUAAUGUUUUUAACAUUAAUUUUUGUUUAGGUUUUCAUUUGGAUGUAGUUAAACACAAUAUUGGGUUAGGUCAUGGUUAAUUAUUGUGAAAAAAUGUUGUUUGUUUGUAGGGUCAGUCCUUACUGUCUUCAUAGUUUGUUUGUGCAAAACUCCGAUAAAUGGUUUAUUUUUUAAUUUUGGUAACAAUAUUGUUAACAACACCUCUUCCAAUGAGAGGCUGACAGGCUUUGUCUAAUAGAUAAUCUUCCAGGUCUCGGAGAACAAAGAAUAGUUCACAUUGGCAGGAAUCAUUCAAUAUUCUUGAACUCCUCUCAGUGUCUCUUUAUCUUUGUACUUUGUGUAUGUACCUGCAUAUAUGUGCCAGUCUCUUUAUAAUCAGGGAAUUAUCAAAUGGAAUAUCCUUUACCCUGUCUUAAUUUUCAGCAUAGUUCCACUGUCAGCUAAUCUCGCAUGUAUUCAAUCCCUUACAACACUGAUCAAAGCACUUGGAGGGUUUGGCCUCCAGGCUAGCAUUGGCAACUUCAUUUAAGUGUUAAAUUUGGUUUUUCUUUUCUAAAUUAGUGGUUUUGUAUUCUCAUUGUCUCCUGACUCCUGCUGAAUUUCCUUCUCAAGAAGCAAGAUAUUACUGAUUUCUUCCUUAACGCUGAGGCAGGUAAUGCUGAUACACCUCUCUGAUGGGUUAGGAAUAGGGUGGAAGCCAAGUUACAAGGAGCUGCCUCUUAUGGAAUUAGUGAGUGUGCCAUGGCUCCUGGCUCUCCUAUCUGGGGCAAGCUUACUGUGGGCUGCUGAAUUGAGAUGAGUAAACUGUCUUCCACACCGUGAAUUGUUAAUUUGUUCUUUGAGCAGUGAUUAAUUAAAAGCAAAACAAACAAAAAAACAAACAAACAAACAAACAAAAAAAGUGCUUUCUUUUAAAAGCAUUUCAGUCGUGUUUAAUUCCUUUUCAUCUUAAAUCCAGUCUGCCCAUUACCUCUAUCCACUUUUUUUUUUUUCCCAGUUGUUUUCUGACUCCAGUCAGGGUCCUUAUAGUUACAGGCAGAGAUGAACAGUUCUAAAAAAAUUUUAAAGAAAUAAAUAAGUCAAAUUUGUACAUUUGAGCUCCUAUUUGCACCCACCGGUAGUGAUAUUUCAUUAACUAUUUUCUAUCAGUUAGAAGACAUUUCCUAAUGUCUCCAAGCUUUAAUAGUUCUAAUAGGAGGUUGGGAACUCUCAUUUGUAGAGAUAUUUUCCAUAUAAUGAAUAAGAAAAUCUAAGGCAAUAAAAUUAAUGAGAGAAAAAAUUGGUAAGAAAUCAAUGACAAGUCAAUGACGACUGAAUACAAUUCAUAUGAAUAUGACUGGUUAUAAGAGCCAUCUGUGAAAACUUCAACAAGAGAAUCAAUCUGAACUUCCUGACCUCUUCACUUUUAUUUUUGCUUUAUUUAUUUUAUUCCUGUCAGGAAUUCUCUUCCAACAGUUUUAUAGAAGAUAAGAACUGCAGUUAACUAUAGGAUACGUACAGUAACUUACCUACAGUUUUUUAUUAUGUUUGUUUGCUUUUAAUUGAUGGUGCCAUCUGGAGUCCUGGAAAGAUUAAACAGUUUGCAUUUUAAAAAUGUGUUCUAUUGUAAGUUUAAAGUUGUUUUCUUAUACAUGUUAUAUUACAAUAAUAUGAAAUCCAGUGUGGUGAAACUGCAGCCAGAAAACUUCAGAACUUCAGCAAAGAAGUGGCUUUCAAUUUAUUGAUUACUAUUACAGCUAGGAUUCGGGAGUAGAGUUAUGUAAAUGUGCUUUGGAAUACAUGAACAUUGUUCUGCACAAAUGUUGUACUUCAGUGCAUCACUUUUUAGUGUCUUUAGUGACUUGAGUCCGGUAUUUCACUGUGACAGCAAUUGUAGUCAUUUUCUGUAACAUGAAACUACAGUUCUGCUAUCAUGUAUAUGACUUGCUUAUGAACAGCACAAUAAGCAGUAAGACGUAAAAUAAGCUUAAACAUAACAUAAGGAGUAUUCAAGCAAGGAAAUAUAGUAAUACAGAUAUAGCGAUGUAAUUUGGGACAUGAACACAUCCCAGGAUUUAGUGUUUUUUAGUGUAUCCUUGGCAGUGGUUCAACUGUAACAAAAAUGCCCCCCCCCCAAAAAAAAAAAAGAAAGAAAACAAAAAGAAAACAAAAGAAAAAGAAAUAACACAAAUUCCAAGACAAGUGAAAACCUACACUAACUUCAAGGAUGGUAUAAUUAUAUUGGUUUGAGUAUAUCAAUACAUUUUCCUGGGCAGACAUGUUUUAAUCAUAUUUUGGAAUUUCUAUUGAUUUUUCUUGUUAGCAGUGGUCAAAACAUGAUUGAGUGUAAUAUCUAGCUGAUGCAACAGUGCCCUGAAAUAGCACUUAGACAUCCCAGCUCAGUUCACAGUGACACACAAUAUCUAAGUAAGCAUUUCCAGCAGCAUAAAGUAAGAAACCUUUCCUCUCUAAGGAAGUUAACAGGAGAUCAUCAGUCAAUCCAGGACUAUUUCUGUCCAUCAGGAUAGGGCCUCAUGUUACACCUUUUCUUCACAGGGUCAUCUUGGACUAAUUCAGUGUGUACUGUGAAUUCAAUGUACUGUGAAUUUAAAAUAUGUCCUCUUAACAGUAAAAAUAAUUGUAUUUGCAUUUCUUUCACAUAAACUUGUCUCUAAAUUUCUGUAGUUACAUACAUACAGAUGAACCUGUUUAACUACUUGUAGAAAUUUUAAUGUGUAUCAAAUGAUUUCCUUACGUCUGGCCAUCUAGAUUGUAUUGUGGGGAGUCAGUAAUGAAAUCUUUUUUUCUAAAUAAACAUAUAUGCUAUAUUUUCAUAGUAUUUUUAAAUUAAAAAAAAAAAAUUGUUCCCACCUCUGCAUUCUCCAAAUCAGGAGAGCUCCUGAUGGUUUGAUUAAUCAAAGUCUAAUCCUAAAGACAGGACUAAUAUGUUAUUAAUAUGGAUAGGGAUGAGAAAUGCUCUAUAUACCACUAGAAGUAAAACAAGAAACAUUCUGAAUUUGAAACUGAAAAGUAGUGUGAAGUUAAAAAAAUUUAGGCAUGUCUUGUAUUACAGUUAUCUUUUUAGUAGUACUAUCAACUUUUGAUAAGUCUUGUAUUAAGUUGGAGAUUGUUUUAUAAUCCAUGAUGCCUAUUAAAAUGAUGGGGUUCCUUCCAUUUAAAACUGAGGGACCUAUAUUUAAAACUGAUAUUUAAAUGAAGUAUGGCAAGGUAUGGCAAUAUUCCUGAGGGAUUAAUUUUCACUUGACUGUGAGGAUAAAUUAUCAACUAUUAGGCUAGAUCAGGGUGACUAUUACAGUCCAACUCUGCAAAAGAAAGAUAGAUAAUGAACCUGAUUGUGGAAAUGUAUUUGCAUAUUUGGUCAUUACAGUUUCUCAGUCUGCUUUUUGCAUGUUCACUCUGGGGCAGUGGCCCUCUGCUGUUCAGCAAUGAAUUGUUUCUGCAGUCCAAGGAUAAUGGUCGAGCAGCAAUGAAGAAAAGUAACAGUAUGUACCUCUUUGGUGCACUGCACCAUGUGUUGUCUAAAAAAGCCACGAAAACCAGAGAACUUGUGGAAGGCUACAAUUUGUGUACAUCAUUCAUAUUUUAUGGAUAACAACUCUGAUCUUCUGUUGUGAAAGCAACAGCAAGUGAUAGCUGGAAAGCUGUCAAAAUCACUGAAGUGUUUAGCAGUGUUAUUCCAGUGACUAUACUGAAGACUAUCUGUGGAAUUCAGAGGCGUAAAACAUAAACAAAGUCAGGUCCCUUGCUUAUCUGUUUAAAAUGGCGGAAUUCUUUGUCUGAAGACCAAUAUGAAAGAAAAAAUCAAAAAUGAUAUCUGUAGCAGAAAUGUUAAGUCACAGCCUGAACCAGUGAUUGAGCACCUGGUGGGAAGGCAGGGCCAACCCAGGGGAGCUCAGGUGCAUGCAGUAUACCUGAGUGACCAGAAGGCGUGGAGCUAGGAUCCACCACUUCCCAGACCUCAUUAUGGGUUGGCAGUGGAGGUGAGGGUAUCUUCCUGGAGAUCCUGGCCUACUGAAGUCCUUUUAAAGGUAAGCAGUAUUUUUUUCAUUUGUUUCUGUGUCCAUAGCUGCUGUGUUUAGAUUUGUUCUCAUUUGCUUCAACCAAAGAUUUUGCUGCCCCGCAAUUAUCACCGUACUUUCUACUGCACUGUAGCAUUAUAGUAUCUGAAGACUGGAAACAAAUAUGAAUUGUUCUUUGUUCCCCUGUUGAUCUGUUCACUUUGACAUUAAAUAGCAAAAUAUUCAGAAAAACAAUGAUGUAAUGAUAGAUAAAUUUGCCUCAAAGAGCUCAAAACAGUCACAAGUACCCUGUUUUUUUUGUAAGCUAUUACAACUGUCUGUAUUGGUGGUCUGCUUCAGAAUUUACCUGUCUCUAAUUUUACAAUGCCUUUCAAAUUGUCUGACAUGAAUCUGCUUUGCUGUGAUGUGAUUCACUGCUGGUUCUUGUGCUCUUGUGAACAUUGAAAGCAUGACCUUCCUCUUUCCAAUAGUCUUUUACACCACCUGCAUUGCUGUGACUUUUGCUCAACUCAAUUCUUCAGUCUAUCUUCUUAGAUAAAGAACAAGUACUAAUACUCACAGGGGUAGAGACCUGCUAUCUCCUUUAUACUAAGCAAUAUUCAUAUCCUUAACACCUAAGGCACUUCUAGCUGAACUGUACAGGCUCACAGACUAGCUGUUAUAACAGAGUUCUUGACAAGCUGAGAAUGUUAAUGUGGAUGUUCCUUAAUCAAAUAAGAUUGCUUCACUCUGUGUCAAAAUGUAAGAGAUUUUUCUGAUACAAUAAUGUUGAAUAGAGAGUAGUUUUCUGAAUUUAUCACAAGAUAAUCUAUUCCUAGGUCAGACUGAGUAAUCCCAGACAUAUGGUAAUAUCUCUUAGGAGAGAACACAGGAGGUGUCAAUAUCCUGAAUAUAUCCCAGAGGUGCAGCAAAUCCUCACAGUUCAAUGUUAUAAUGCUCAGGAUAAAUAUUUCUUAGGAGGAAAAAAUAGAACUGGUAGAGAAUUAUAGUAGAUGGAUGCCUUUUGUAAACAGUUACAUACCCAGUGGACAUAAAUGAAGAACAUGAUUAGGACAUAAAAUAGUCAUUAGUGGAUAGUUUAGUGAAUACUAAGCAAAAGGACAACAAGCAUUUAAAUCAUUACAGAAAAAACAAUGAUAGGACCAGUAAUCCUGUCUAGUUUAAGACCUUCACUGAACUCUGUGGUCUGUAAAACACCAAAACAACUCUGGAACCUGCUUCGUGUUCUGCGGCAUGACAAGCUACGUGCUUAAAAUAUUUAACUAUCCCAAGAAUUUCAAGUGUGAUGUAGCCAGGCUUUGAGAAGCACGAAAGAUGACAAUGCUGCAUUACCUUUUAUUCAUAGAAUUUGACCACCCUGUGAUAGCAAUGUUCUUUGCUUUUGCUUUACUUUACUGUAUUAUCAGAUACCAAUGAAUUUUAACCUAUGAAUUCUGCAGCUGAGGACAAAUGCACUCUAUUACAAGUAGAAUUUUAUUUCUGCAGAAUGUUUCUGAAGUUUUGCUUUGAAUGCAGGGAAGUGGAUAUUCUAGCUUUAUACAAGAGAGAUGUAGAGUUUUUUAAGUGUUAGGAAGUAUAGUCACUGCAUUGAAUGAAUGAUUUCUAUCACUGUACUCUGCCAGACACCCAUUUUUUAUUUAACUGGUAGUCUACAUGUGAGACUUCUCUACUGAUCUUCCAAACUACUAUAAGAAAAUCUGUUUUGCACUCAAGUUGAAAGGAUACAGCAUGGGAAUAUGCAUUCUGGGCCAUGUCUUGAUCAAAUUUUGUGACUUAAGAGGAAGAAAAUACUUAGAAAUUAAAACAGACCAUUUCUACUUCAGCUAGUAUAAUUUAAAAUUUCUCAUUGUAACAUCUGUGACCUAACACGUGCAUGUUGUUAUAUUAGAUUAUAUUUAGAAGUUAAACACUGAAUUGACAAGACCAUGGUUUUAUUGUAUUUGCACAGAUGGAAUUGUGAGGAAGUGAAGAUCAGCCAAGAUUUUAUGUUCAGAAAGCCUAAGCAAAGACCUGAAUCUCAUUCUUCAAGUGAGAUGCACAUAGAAAGCAGACAAAGCUCAAAUAAUAUCAAUUAUUAAACUUAAUACAGAGAAGAAACCAAAUGACCUUGAGAAAACACGUGUUGUUCCUCAUUCCUAGUACUUGUUACUUGCAUUUUCCCUCUAAACAGACUUUGCUCUAUCUAAUUCUAAACCGUUUGCAAAUUUAAUCUGUGCUUAUGGCAGGUGGGUGGUAUUUGGCAAUAGGCCAAAUAAUCUUAGUUCCUUAAGAAUGACCACAUGAUGGUGCUGCAAGGCCAAGUGGAAAAAAUGAGUCUGCCAAACUGGAUAUAGAGCACUAUGACCCAUCCAAAUACAUCUUCUGAUAAAAAGACUAUCAGAGAAAGUUUUGUAUAAGCAAGUGAAAUUCUUUAUCUGAGGCUGACUGAUGUAGUAAGUAUUAGUAAGUAGUAAGUAAGUAGUAGUAGUGAUGUAGUAAGCGUAGUAGUAUUUCCAGUGUGCUGGAAGAAAAAUCAUUCAGUAAGUAAAUAAUCUAGACAAUGGCAAAAUUCUCUUGAAACACAGCUUUAUACUGCUUUUACAGAUCAGUCUACUUGGAGCUGAAACACAACUAGCUCAAUAGACACAAGAAAUUGAGCGAUUUUACCUAUGUAAAAAUACCACACAUUAACAUCAUCCUACUUACCAAAGUGAUGAAGCUGAUUUCAUAUUAGUGUUUCAUGUUUUGUGAACAUAAUAUAAAAUCUUUAUGCAGACUCUCUAGUAGUGUCUCUCCUUGGCUUCAGUCUUUUACUCAUUUUAGUUUGCGUGCUAAGUGUAUUGCAGCGAAAGUAAAGGCCUGUUGCAGAUGCAAGAAAAUAAACUCAGAUGAAAUUUGAUCUGCUGGUGGCAACCAUACCAGAGACCUGUGUGACCAAUAUGCAUCUGUAUGUUAUUUUUAUUCUUAACAGGUUAAACUGACUGCAUCAAGAAUGAUAACUGUGGGAUUACAGCAUCUAGGCUGUUUCUUCAUUUUCCAUUUAAAAUGCAAGUAAAAAUGAAGAAACAACCUUUGAUAUAGUGUGUUAGUGUUAAAUGAUUCUGUGCUUUUCUUAGGCAUACUUCUGUACUAGGACAAAAUGCUUAGGAGAUUUUGCAGUUAGCACACUGCUGUCCUUUAGAAAUAAACUCUAACAGGCAAAUGCAGGCAAAACUGCACACCACCUGGAUGUCUGUAUUUUGGACACAUGAUAAUCUUAUCAGACUCAUGACAAAAAGAUUUUGCUUUCAUGAAAGGAAAGUUCUUCCAUCUAUUUAGUAAAAGGUGGGGGAAAGCAUAACCAGAACAAAAAUCUGUUUAAGAAGAAGAAAUAAAGGCAGAUCCUGUCUUUUUUUGUGUGUGCGUGUGCAUACCUUCCAACUUGGGAUAUUCUCUGAUUAAACUCUAGCUCAUCAACCUCAACGUAAAAUGUUGAGAAGUGUUUCCAGCUAGUGGAGCUGGGAGAAGUAAUAAACUGAGAAAUUUUUCUUCUUGAUGGAUUGUAAUAUUUAAGUGAAGAGUAUUUAUUCUAUUUAUUUUUGAAGUUCAUCCAUAGUCUGAAAAAAAAACCCACCAAAAACAAAACAACAACCAAAAAAAACCCAUCAAAACAACCAUGCAUCAGCCCUCUUGUGUUGUUGAGAGUCAGACUUGAAAUAGGACUACACAACAACCCAGGACUCUGAGAGAUAGUAUAGUAAUGCUGGUAAGGUACCUAGAGAAGAUCAGCUAUAUUCACACAGCUCAGGUGAUACAACAUUUAUAUCCCAGUUUUGAGAAAGGGAAAUGGGUUGUGCUUGAAAAGUAUGUCAGAAACCUAAAAACAUCAGUGCUGCUCAGCACAAGGGAAAACCAAACAGAUGCAGUUUCAGUACAGGGCUUGAGUGCAGAGUUUCAGCAAAGGGAGUUUGCAGCCUGAGAAUUGUUCAGACAAAAAAGAGUAAAAAUCAGUGUAUUCAUGGGAAGUAAGCCAUGGUGGUUAUAAACAAGGAAAAAAAUCUGGAGGAAAAGCUGGGUGUUACAUUCCCUCUCCUGAUACAUGACAAAUCUCUUCUUGCAAGAUUUCCUUACCUUUCAGUGAGGGGAAGAACCCUGCUAAAAUCCUUCAGAUUUCACUUAGGAAUGUUUCAAAUCUUUCCCACCCUCUUAGCUUUUCCUUUGUAGCAGUAUGAACUGUUGCUAUCAAAGCAAACAGUCUGUAUGUUAAUGAGGAAAGAUAUUUCACAGGUUUAGCAUCAUGCUACAAACAAUUCAAGGGACGCUUUAUCUGACUAAUUUUCUGUUGCCUGGAAAUAAACUAUAGGGCAUGGUAAGAUGCUGUGUCAUUCAGGAAGAUAUGUAGGAGUCAAUGUCAUCAUGUCAUCUUACUUGAUCCAAAAUCAGAGAGGAAGAGUUAGAAGUGAUUAGUCAGGGCAGUGAUUACUGUUACUUUGUCUUGGUUCUUUUUUUUUUCCCCGAGUAAAUUAAUAACUGUAAUUGAAAUGUUCCUAUUUUUGACAAGGAUUAUUUCACAAUGUGUGGAGUAGCUUUGUCAGAGUGAUGAGUGUGUUUCUGCUUGAUAACCGAUGACAGGAUGUGCAGAAAUGGCACGGUGGUAUAGAGUUGAGCUCCUUUAUAUUAUUUCAUAUAGUUUAUUAUAUUUAUUGUUCUUGUUUUUAAGAGCAGGGAAAAAUAAAAUUUCAGAUCUUUUCUCACCUAAAGUUUGACAUCAGCUGAUCUUAUGUAAUUAAGGCAAAAUUGGAUGUACAAGGUGAACUACUGAAAUGUAUUGUCUGUCAGAAGGCAUGGUUUCACAGCUGGUCUUAGCAUCGACAUUUAACCAUCAUUUCUGCACUCGAUAAGACAAUUGUUACAGACAGCUGUCAUGUAUACAGUUUGCAACUUUAAUCUGGGAUUGUCAUAUCAUGUAUUUUAUAUUUGAAUUUGACAUGCCAGGCUUUUGCAAGUUUUCUGUAACUGUGUAGCUGAGCAGGCCUAGGAGGAUUUCUUUGCCAAUAGUGAAAGUGGUUAAAAAGUGGUAGCAUAGACAGCAUGUUGCAUCAAGUCCUCCUGUCAUUUGGAAGAAUUUCUUAGUGAUUACUGAUGAAUUAAGCUGUAGCAGAUUUCUUAAUACAUAUUUAUGUAAUUGAAGUGGAAUGCAUAGACAAAUGCCAUCCAGUAAUGACCUGCUGACUAAGCUCUAUCAUAUAACAGAUGAAAUUUGCCUCCUUAUUACAGUCUUUUGGGUAAAUGUAGGUUGUCUACACACACAAAUCCUCAUUUUCCAUCAAUAGUACAUCUAAGAAGAUGUUUCAUAGUAGUUCCAUUCAUCAUCUGUGUGGCCUCCCUCUUUCUAGACACUUUCUUCCUAUUCGAUGAGUUAAAAAUCUAGGGUUUAAAAGGUGCUACAGGACUGCAAAAAGCUACAGAGCUGGUUAUGAAAUGUUGCGUAGCAUAGGUGGAACCAAAGUUACAGAUUUGCUCCCAGCUUUCAUUGUGUUUGUCCAUCAGGAGUUUGUAGCUCCUGGUAUCAUUUGCAUGAAUCCUGGGAAUUGUUAUGUCUGUCAUUAAAACAUACUGCACGUUGCACUGUGGAAAAAAAAAACCCAAACCCACCAAAAAUAGUGGAUUGCAGAGUGUGCAUACCAUCUGAAUCAUUCCUAUUAAAGUCAGCGGUCAAAUGGUUUACAGAUGAUUGCAUGAUUAUUUUUUUUUUAGCAGAAUUUACUUAAAAUAACAUCCUUCUCAGCUGAAAAAUCAAGAGUUCAUACUUGUUUGAUUACAGUACAGGAAGGAUAAAUGCUAACUGAGCUCUACUGUGCUAAAGGAGACCAUCUACCACGUAAUUCUAUUAGGUGCAGAUUUUCUGAUCUCUGAACCUGAGCACAAGACUGGGCCAAUAAGUCACCAGCAGAAUCACCUUCUGGCUAAGACAACAGUGAUUCAGAAACAUUCCAGAAUUUUCUUUGAUUCUCAGACUAAAAGGUGCGUUUUCGGGCAAUCAAGAAGUGACUCAUUAGAAAAAACAGAUCUGCCAUUUGUGGCUAUUUAAAAUGUUCCUGUGUUUUAAGAUACUCCUGCUUGGAAAUAGUUUGAAUAUAGCGGCUUUAUGUGGAGCUAAUCUGGGAUCUGCAUACUGUGUACAACAAAAGAAAGUUCUUUUAGAACUUGUUUUCUUAGGUUGCCCUGGGACUUCAGGGAGUCUGUUUAACCAGCAGUGCUUCUUUCCUUUCCACUAUGUUCUGGGUUAGAGACUGCUGCAUUUCCUUCAUGUAUUUUGUGUUUACUUGUGUGUGCAUACGUGCUUAUUUAUACUCAAGGUGUUGACCUCUGAAUUGUUUACCCAAGAAAGCUUGGCCCAGACUAGAAGCUCAACUGGGGAAUUCAGGCUGUCAGUACCUCUUAUGUUAAAAAAAAAAAAAUAAGCCUACAGUCUCUGUCUUCCUCAGUACUCAAAGAGGAUGGUAAUUGAGAGGACACGUGAGCCAGUGGAAUAGCAUGUGAGUGAAAUCACAGAAUGGCAUGGGUUAGAAGGGACGUUACAGCUCAGAUCCAGCCCCCUGCCAUAGGCAGGGACACCUUCCAUGGGCAGGGACAUCUUGCACUAGAUCAGGUUGCCUAAAACCCCAUCCAGCCUGGCCUUGAACACUUCCAGGGAUGGAGCACCAAUACUGCAGCCCAGUAGCAAUGCCAGCAUGAUUUUAGGCAGGUUUUCCACUACUGUCAUCUCCCAACACCUUUUAGCUCAUCUAUGUAUGGUCAGAAUGAAUAGGUUAAUGUCAGUGCUGUAAAGACAUGUCUAUAUACGUAUAUGUUUCUAAGAGUUAUAAACAAAAUAGAUGAAUUCAGCUUUAUUUAUUAGAAGGAAGUGUGCAGUUACAAAUUCUGUUCAUGAAGGUUAGAAUGUAUCCAGGCUAAAAGAAGCAAUUUUUAACCUUAAGUCUGACGCCUUUCUGUGUACAGGGCUUAAUCUUCUAGUACAGAGCUAUACAGAACAAUUACUUUUCUAUAGAUUAUGAUUACAGUCUAAGAUGAUUUACUGUGUGACUCAUAUUACUCCUGAGAGUUGGGCUGUUAAUUUUGCUGGGUUUUUUGUUUGUUUUGCUGUUGUUUUGAUGGUCUAUCUUGUUCAGUUUCUCCUUGCAUUUUCUGCCUCCUAAAAAUCCUUUAUGCUUCCAUGUCAGCUGGGUACUACAAUUUGUAACUCAGCUAUGUACUACAAUUUGUUGAGGAUGUAGCAGUAGAAAAAGCAUUACCCCUUUCAAAUGUGACAUUUAGUGUAUUACCUGCAUGUGCAGUAUUGUCAGGGGUGUAGUUUUUGACCUGCAAUGCAUUAUCUGCUCUACUGACUGUUUAUCACCAGUGACAUAUUUCUCUCCAGGAACCUGCCAUUCUUCUUUUGCCUGCUUUAAAACACUAAAUGCAGACAUACGGUCUGAAACUGGGUGCAAAUUUGAGAGUGGAAUGCGAACAGAUUUUUCUUCUUUUUAACAAUUUCCUUCAACAUUGUCAGCUAAACAUGGUGCCUAGUAAGCUUCUUUUACUACGGUAACAAAUAUCAUGUUAAAGAGCAGAGGCACUGCAAGACUGAAAUUAAUUAUGUAUGCUUUAUGCUUGUCCAACUAACCACUCUGUAUUCCCAAUGAAAUACUUAACACAUCUGUGCGCUCCUAAAGUCAAAUAACAUCACUAUAAUUUGAGACUUAUUUUGAGCAGAGAAGAAAAGAUUUUGUUACACCUACAGGAAUGCUAUUCUUUUUGAGGGUGCUUUUUUCCUUUGUAUGCUCUGAUUGUGCACUACUUAAUUCAGUCAAAAAUUCUAAUUGAGAUUACUGGCAGACUGCCACAGCAGGAAUCUUUAAGUCAGAACCUUUGGGGAUAUUUUCAGAGGAACGUAUGUCUUCUAUUUCAUGCUUUAUUGUGGCAGACUGAUGAGAACUUUUAAAGCAAAUGUUAAGACAGUUGACAUAAAAUAACUCACUCUGGAAUUUGUUCUCCCAUGUUGCUUUUUAAAUGAUAAAUAUCAAAUACUCUAUUUCAUUUGUAAUAUGUGAGUAUGUUAUAUGAUGACAAUAAUUCUGCUGGAAUGACAAUUCAGUCAUGAAGCAAGAGUGAGAAGAACACUUAAGAAGACUGUUUUUUAACACAGACCUAGUAGGCUCUGUAGCAAUAUUCAGUAUCUGAAGGAGUUAAACGGGAUAGGCAUUAUUUGACAGAGCAGUAUGUGUCAUGGCUUAAGCAGGCAUAAUAGGAUAAAAUUAAGAAAUAUGAAUAUUUAGGUAACAGACAAGACUACUUCCUGAUAGUAAGAUCUGUUCUAGUUUAAAUGGUCUCAAAAAGGGAGCUCCUAGCAGGGAAUAUUUAACACCAUGCUGAACAAUAUGCUAAUCCUCACAGGAACAUUACUGAAUUGUCAGCAGGAUGAACUAGCUGAUCCCUUCCAUCUCUGUUCUUUUUAAUUUCAAUCUCUCUUAAAGUUUCUGCUUAGGAGAAUAUGUACUUCACUACUUCGUUUUCCUGAGAACUGUCAUGUCUAUAGCCUGAAGAGUGACCUACUGCUCUGGGACAUCCUCUGCUUGUUUCUCAUUGCCCUUGUUUUUCACAAGUAGAUCUGUGAAUGAAUGGCUCUAACUGAGGCACUUGAGCUCCAUUUACCUAAUUACAUACUAAGUAUCUGCGUUAUCAACUGUAUGCUUGCUUCUAAACUGGAGUGAACUCUCCAGGACUCAUGAAGAUAUGUACACAAACAAAAAUUGUUCUUUGAAGACUUGUCAUCGUCUCCAUCCUGCUAGGUUGAAGCUGGAGGAUUUACAUAAAUGUCUGGCCCCUUUUUGCCUGUGGAAACACAAGGAUAAUUCCAUUUAAAUCGAAGUCGUGAUGAACAUGAGACAAAGUCAUGCUGAGAAAGGUUUUAAAAAUGUUCUUAACUCUCAAAAGCAUUUUAGGCAAGAUAACAGCUUGCUAAUUUUCAGGCAGUGGUCUUUUAUAAGUCUAAGGUGUCACAUAUGACUGUUUUUCAGUUCUACUAGCCACAACUCUAUUCAUAAACUUAUUUUGAAGUACUUUCAUAUGCUAUGGGGGGGAAAAAGCAACUACGUUUUAAGCUUAAAGUGAAUGACUAAAUGAAUGAAGUUAUUUUUAUCGAUUACAUCAAAAUAUAGCUAGGAAAAAAAUGUAGAAAUACUCAUUAGUAAACAACUUAAAAUAAAAUUCUCUAUCGUGCAUUGUACUACAUUUUGCUUGAGGUCUUACAAGGACAAUUGGCUUUUGAAGUUCUGUUGGUCUGUGGUCUCUUCCAAAUCUCUGUUUUCAAACUCAGUAGCCUUUUGAAAUGUGUAAAACCAGUGAGGUAUGGAAAGUCACUUGUACUGUCUGAAACUGUCUGUGGUCCUCAUUUCUUUAAUGCUGUCUAUUCCUGGAGAUUAGUAUGAAUUUGGAAAUUAUCUCAGGUAAUUUAAAAACUCUGAAAAGAUAAUGGCUUUGGGUAAAAUUCAUUGUUCAGAAAAACAGUAAAAAAAAAAAAUCAAAAUUAAGCAAUCAUAGGUCUUAGGUAUCUGAAUAUGCAAAUACAUCUUAGUCCCCUUUUCCUUAGACAGCUAUGGCAUGACAUAUAUGCUAGUCAUGGCAUUGUUCUGUUGUUGCAGAUGGCAAAUGUUGACAAAGUGAAAUCUUGCAGGUUUCCUUCUUGUUAUCAAUCCAAAUAUCAUAGAUAAUCCUGGCCAGCUUAUUUAUAAGUGAUGGUGGAAAAUGUUUGCUGUAUAGACUAACAUAGUUGGUGUACCAUCAAGUCUUGCUUCCAUAAUUGUCUCUGGUCUUCUCUUUAACAUCUUAGCAAUACUGAACCUUGAAUACUGGCUUUCCACAACUCUUCCACCAUUAACAUUGCUGGGUAUUUUGAUAAAUCAUGUAAAUCAGGAGAAGACUUUUUCACUGAUAUUUUUUCAAUCUUCUAACUGAAUUUUAUCAAAAUUAAAAUAAUAAUAAAAAUAAGUACUUUGUAAUAAAUAGUGUUGGAAAUAUAUUUUUCUAAAAUACAGUCCCCAUUUUAAAUGAUACAAAACUGAAAUGCUUCCAUUAGCUGCAGGGUGAAGUGAUGUGUGCACUGUGAGAAAAAUGAAGUAGAAGCAGUUUGUACAUCUGUAACCACUAAAAUUUUAUUGUAAAAUAUUCUUUCUAGAAGUCAGGAAUCUAUACCAAUUAAAAACCUGACAUAGUGAAAAGUUAGUGACCCUUUCAAUAGGUAUGUUGUGCAGAACAUGUGUUCUGUAAUUAAAAGCAAACACUUCGUGAUUUCAAGUUGUAUUAUGUACAAUGGAUCUGACUCAGAAAGGCUUCUGGUAAAUGUGGCAGAACUUAGCUUUCUCAGAAAGUCUUUCUCUGGGUGUCAAUAUCUGAAUUACUUUGAAGAUUUUACAAGAUUCUGAGAACAUGGUAGUAAGAGACCAGGGAAAGAAGAGGCUUGCACGUUGAAGGGAAAAGCAUGGAGAGCUUUACAAGGCUUUUGGUAUUCAAUAGUAGAUCAGCAGAAUGAAGGCCCGAGGGGAAACUGAGAAGACCAUAAACACCAGAGAAAGCCAUAAAGCACAGAUUCCCAAGCACUGCUGAGGAAUAGGCACUUCCUCAUUAAGAGCUUGUUACAGUGUGUGUGUGUGUAUAUAUAUGUAUAGUCUCUUAUAGGAAUACAAUCAAUUUAUUUUAACAGGGAAAUGGGUAAUUCACCUAAUGUUUGAGGGCACUCAGUACUUAAUUGAGAUCAGCCACCUAUAAACCUUGUACUCAAAUAACUUUUCAGGAGUCAAUUAAACUUGAUAUACAUCAGCAUAUACAAAAUAGUGUAGAAUAAAAAGUGUCAUUUUUUCAAUAAUCAUGAACUUUUCAAUUAAAUAUGUCUAUAUUAUGUAAUGAUUAAUACACUUCUAUAAUUGCUGUGUCAAUACUGAGAGCCACUUUAUUCAAAAUUAAUAACAGCUUUGAAAGAGGACACGAAACUGUGCUGACUGUAAAAGAACAGGAAAAAAAGAGCAAUACAAAAACAUAUUUACUCUGUUCUUAGAAAAACAGUGAAAAUUGUGCUUUUUUUCUCCGCUUUUAUUAUAAAACUAUUUGCAUUGCUCUAGUCUGAUUAAAAUAUGACACUACAGAAUAGGCAGCCAAAAUGAUGCAACUCGAUCUGUAAUUCUCUCGUGUUUCCAGAUAGUUCAUAUUUAACUUUAAGUAUAUUUUGAAGUCGAUUAUGUCCUGCAGUGCUCAGAUUUCCCAUGUCUCCUUUGCAUGUCUCUCUGAAGCUGUUUCUGUCUCUUCUGUCUGUUACUGCAGUGUCAGUCUCUGUUUAGGACUUCAAGCGGACUGUCAGUGUGUGAUCAUUGUAGCAGCUGGACCUCCAUAGACAAUGGUUUAUUGCAAUCCCCAACAUAAGCCUUAUAUUUCUUCAUGCUGUAGCACACAGAUUUACUGAGACAAAAGAAAACUGGGCAUCUGUUUAUAAGGAUCUAACCUUGAUGCUCCACUGUGUUACAUGCUGCUCACACUACAACUUUUCCAGGUGCUAUCAAUCAUCGGAUUUUCUUGGAUAUAUUAGUAUGAUUAAAUAUACAUGUCAAAGGCAAAAUAUGCUCAUGUAAAAUUCAUAUAGUCUAAUGAGAAUCUUCAUUUCAUUAACAGCUAGUGGGAUAUAGUUCCUUCAUUUGGACACAGUAUGAGAAUAGAAUAAAUAGAAUCAUAAAUAAACAUUUCUAAUAGCUUGACUAUUUAUUGAAAUACAUAGGCUUUAUGACUGGAGGUUGUUUUAAAAAAACAACACAUUUAUUUGAGUUCUGUAACUUCAUACAUGUAUUUGAGCAUGUCAACUGCUGCAAUUUAUUAUAAUGCACACAAAACUCAAUAUGCUCUGUAAAGAAAUCCCAUCUGUUUUAAAUGUGAUGAUUACUGAUAAGAGCAGACGGCAUACACAGUGUGUAAACAAUUUGCUACAUACAAACCAAUAUAUUCUAAUUACAAGUCAAUAAAUUCCAUAUACAAUCCAAUUAGUUUUCAUAGAGACUCUUGUAUUUAACAUAUGUAACUGAUUUGUUUCAAAUUACUAAUUUAAGGAGACUAUUAUUUAAUUGACAAACCAAUAUAUUUGAGGAUAGAAGACAUCAUACAACAGAAAUGAUAUAAUGAGAUGAAAAUAGUACUUCAAAGUACUGUCUGUUUAAGUUUGUUUGUUUCAGAAAUCAGUUUCAUAUGAGAGAGCAUAUCUUGUAUGCUAUCAAACUCAUCAGUGCUUCUACGGUACUUUAUUUUGUAGGAAUGUAAAUCUAAACAUAUGAUGGGUAUAACUGGGACUUCAUACAGACACAAAUUUAACUAGAAAACUUAGAUCAGGAUACAAAGACUUCAUACUCAGAUGAAGUUUCACAGUUGGUCGUAAUAGUGCCGGAAUGACUGCAGGAAGUCUUAUUCAGAGAUGUGAAGGGAGAAAAAGAAUUAAAACUAUCCACUGUGGUACUAGUAGUUCAAGAAACAGAAUUUACAUAUCUAUGGGAAAGGUAAAGCAUUUUCAGAAACACUGAAUAACUACAGAUGAAAUUAAAAAAAAAAAAAGAAAAAAGAAAAACAAGAUUCCACAGCACUUUAAUCAAAUGAUCAAUUUAAAUCCAGAAGGAAGAUGGAAAAAAUGGUUUUCCUCUUGUCUUCUUUUAUACUAAUUAAAAUUUGAUUUCUGAAGUGCAGAAAAUGUUGUAGGUGACUGCAUGAAUCUAGUAUUACUGCUGCUCUGGGAGACAUUACGAUCCAGAAUCACAGUAUGAUGUAGAGAGUCCUAAAUAUAAAAUCACAUGGUGUUGCCUAUACAGUACACACACUGAAGCGUAGUAUGUUGAAUGGUUGAAAGCCAGUUAAGAUGACUCAGAAGGUCUGAGCUUAAUGUAGCUACACUAACUUUGAGCAAAUGAAAUAUGAAGGAAAGCAUUAGGACAAGUUGCAACAAAUAUUCUAUGGAAUUUUCUAGGAAGACUUGUCUUGGAAAUUUUCAAUAAGGACCUGAGAGCCGCAGCAGGUCUAUGAAUGAUAGUAACUUCAUUAUUUGUUGGUUCUUAGAUUUUUAUUAUUAUUAUUAUUUAGUAUUAAAGUCAGCUUUGGGGCUGUACAAUGACUGUGUUUAGCUAUCAAAAAUCUAGAAUGUAUCAGCUUGAAACUCUCAGACUGGUAUUAAGAGAUUUGUCACUGAGUGUGGGUAAGGAAAGAAAAAAAGUUUGUCUUUUGAAACUGCUGGUCACCUUCUUUUGUAACUGCUGUGAUUGUUCUAGAUGGCUGUAUCUAGCUCAUAAAGAGUAUUUUAGUCUAGCUGAACUGAAUAUUGUAGCUUUGUCACUGAGAAUAGUUGUUAAGGUCCUUUCAUUUUAGUGAUAUUAUUCUUGGCAUUAGUUAAUUCACAAGCAAAAUUAUAUUGCUUGCAAGAGAAAAUGAAUGAAUUUGGGAAUUCCUAGCACAGAAGCAUUAAGACUACUUAACUUAAAAUUAUACCUCUUUCCCAUUCUCAUCCAUUUUCUGAAGAAGAGCAAAAUGAUCUGAAAAAAACCUCUGCAUAAAUAAUUAUUUCAUUUACUCUAGAUACUGAUUAAUCCUGCAUUAAAAAUAUUCUUAUGGAGUACAGUUUGUAAGGCUGGAGAAGUGAAGGAUUUUCUUUCAAUACUCUAUGAUUUCCUCUAUUUUUCCUAGCUGUAUUGUGUGGCUUUGGAAAGGGAAGAAGAUUUAAUACAAAAAUAACUGUUAUUUUUGAUCUAGGGUUAAUAAUUUUAAAUUGCAAUCUCAAUUUCUUUUUCCCAGGCAUUCAUUUUUAGCUCCUGAUUUUAGCCACGAUUAGGUCCAGACAGUUCUGUGAAAGUAGAGAUUUCAGAUCUAAUUCAAGAAAAUAGCUUUUUAAUAAACUCCAGAAUAAAGAGAGCGAACUGUAUUAACAAUGCCUUUGCACAUUUCUGAAGGACAAGGAAGAACUGCUAUUAUCCUCUAUGGAAAGAAAGAGCAAAUAGAAUUAGUUUGCCUCUCCAGGGUAGAGACUCUGUACUACAAAGUCCCUGAUGAUGUGCAUCCACAUACUUGGUAGUCCAUGUUGAGAGUGAUUAUUUGCACAGGUCUCUCCACCGGUAAAGUAACAAACAAUGUCAGAGAGAUCUUUAACCCAUGUCCUAGCGUUAUUUUAAUGGAAUCACAUCACCAUUUUAACUCACAGAGUAUAGGAAGGAAAACUUGAGAUGAGAAUAGGAUAUUGAGAAUUAGGAUUUUGUAUCAAUCUGUAGUUUUCUGCUGCCUUUCUGCCAACAAGGAUGGGUGAUUGGUAUUACCUCUGCUCUACCUGGAGCUGUCAAAAAAUACAAAUCACAAAAGAAAAUAAUCUGCAGAUGAAAAAGUUCAGGCUGAGAUUUCUUUCUCAUUUGUCAUAGCAAAAACAAGAAACAUUUUAUUGAGGAAGUUGGAGAGCUUUUGACGUUAAUCCUGCUGAUAUGCAGGGAGAAUAAAUGAGGGAUUUUUGUUGUUCGUGUUUUCACAUAGCAUAUUAAUGAUUCUGAUAAGAGCAUGCGGAUAUCUGGCUACUGUCUAACAUGUUAAAUUAAACUGUUAUGGCCUCAAGACUGUUUUUCUGUGUAGUUUUUCAAGUAAAAUUAUAAAGCCAUAUGACUGCUAGAGGAGUGGAAAACAAGAUCAGAUGUAGCUUGGCCUAUGUUAAAAAUAACCUCUAUAAGUAGUUUCAUUAAAUCUAUUUAGCUUACUGAUCGAUGGAGUGAAAUACCUAUUUUUUUUUUCUUCUUCAUGGAUCAUUGGAUCUGCAGAUUCCUUCGAGUUCUGUGAUACUUACACAUGAUGUAUGUACAAUAGUUAUUGCGUGGCAUUGUUUUUGGAAGUGGAUAAUGCAGUAUACAUACUUGUUGGCACCAAGCUUUUAUCCAGUAACCUGAAAAUUACACGGGUAGAGAAAGAAGUGUUUUACAAGAAGUAAAUAAUUUAAUUGGAAUCAAUUAUUUUUUUUGUGUUCCCUAUGCUGUACAUUAAUAUUGGUAAGGAUAUAAUUGAUAUAUAUUUUUUGACAGAAACCUAACUUAAUCAGUACGUCACAUAGUAUCUCAAUGAUAAUCAUUACUCACAAUAAAUUCUGGAUAGGAAAAUACUUUAAGAUUUUACAGUUUUCAUAGUUUUUUUUUUUUAAUAGUAUUUGCCAUUCUAAACCCAUUUUCCAACUUUUUAUAAAUGUUUCUUCACUUAAGCAUGAAAAGCAUUAGAAAGGAUGAGUGGUAGAAAGAUUGACCUGAAAAUUGCUACUCCAGAGAACUUUCUCAUUAAUUUUUUCCAUUACUUGCAUUUACAUGUAUUUCUCAUGCUUUGCUUUUAUUUCUGGGUAUUACCGGAGGACAGGGUUAAGGAAAAGAGGAGGAAUAGUUUGGAUUGCAGAAUAUGAAUUGCUGCGAGGAAGAAAUAUCCAUCAGGCAAACAGGCAUUGCAGUGUUUAUGUCAAUCUACUAUAUUUUCUCUGACAUCUUAUGACUUUUUUCAGUUAAAUUUAGUGUUUUCAGGCAAAGGUUGUGAUUUCCUAAUAGCCUCAGAACCGAGCAAACAGGUAGAAUGUUUACUUAUUCUACACUUGUUUUGUUUUACAUUAUUGAAAUAGUUUCCACUAGAAGAUAAGGACAGUACAGAGGCUACUGUGCAUACCAUUGUGCUCAAGAUUUUGUUAGGGUCUAAAAGAAAAUACUUUCUGUGAAAAGAGGGUAACUUAUUGUUGGUAUUAUUGAAAUCUUAACUGUCUAAUCAAAGAAUUACUAUUAGUCCAUAUUAAUUACGGGAAUUGUGGAGUUGGGGUGACAGUUUAUGGCAUUUCAAUCAGAACAUAAGUCAUUUUUCCAAGGGAGUAUGAUCAUGAUUGUGAGGGUUUUUUUUUUCUUCCUUUCUUCCUUAUCUUUCCAUUUACUUUUUAAUGCUUUCUUAAAGUUUUGUAGCAUGAUUUUACAUCUUGUUUUUUAUUUAUUUGUCUUCAGCUCCAAACUAUAUCCAAUUUUACUGAAUACAAUUCUGGUCAGCUACAGGUCAGCAUGAGUCUAACAGACUGUGAGUUAUUUAUGGCUCUGGGGUCUCCAGCACCAGCCACUGACUUCGGUUGUCAUUCCAAGCCUGCACACUUCUACACACCAUCCUAUGUCCCCACACUUGACAUCUCUGCUACCAUAUCAGGCCUCUGGUAUUCCUCUACAGAGUUUCAUUGUGUUGCAGUCAUAAAAAAAAAAGUUGUAAUGUGAGAAGUAACUAAACCACUUGUUACUAUUAGGCACAUAAAACCAAAGGAUGUGCCAUAUAAAUAUUACCUAAAGAAAUCAUAUGUGGCCAGCGAGCCUUUAGAAGAACUGCUGUUGCAGCUAUCCAAGUAAAAUUCACCUCCAGGCAGUUCAAGUACUGCCCUGAAGAGAAUCUGACCAAGAUAAGUCCUGACAUCCUGAGUGCUCAGGACAAAGCCUGAGUUGUUAGCAAUAGGAAUUUUAUACUAGGCCACAGGGCUACAAAAAUUAUGAUUCCUUUUCAGUAGAAGCAUAAAUGUUAGAACAAGAAACAUUUAGAAGUACUAAGAGACAUGGACUAGUGAGGAAAUAUUGAUGGUAGGUGGAUGGUUGGACUGGAUGAUCUUGAAAGUCUCUUCCAACUUUGGUGAUUCUAUGAACUUCCAAGUAUGAACUCUUCUGACCAUGCAGAAAUGAAUACAAUUUUCAUUUUCAUGCUGCUGAUUCCAGAACAACUCUUUUAGCAACCAUGAGUAGAAAAUUAGUUUAUUUAAAAUAAUGAGGCUUACAGCACUUAUGUCAUCUAAAAGCAACAAAUAAAAACUCACUCAAAUCAAAGUAAUUACAUUUUAUUGCAUUAAUUUAUUAAAUUCUUUUAAUGGCAUUGACACGUUAGAUGCAUUUUUCAACAGUCACUGAAAGACAGUGACAGCAGUCAAUGUAGGUCUUCAUUUUCUGCCCUGCUCCUGGGCAUUUUCAGGCAGGGAUAAGCAGUUCAAGAAGCAGAUCAAGUAUAAGAAAGAAAACUAGUGCUAUCGUUUGAGUAUGAUUUCCCCUCCUAGCUAUUACAGCCCUAUAGCAUCUCUUUCAGCUUAGUUCACCUUCAUUCAGGAUGAGAAUGGUCAACCAUUACAAUUAGUGUUGGCUUUAUUUCCCUAGCUGUAUUUACUUUUUUUUUUUUUUUGUCUAAGACAGCAAGAUUUCACUUGCAUUUUUCAGUGCCUAAUUAGAUAACAAUGUCCUUCUAAUCAGCAUGAAAUAAAUGAUGUAGUGAAGAUGCUGCUUGAUAAUGUUUUAAACUUGUUUAAGUAUAAAACAUUGCAAGUGAAAACCACUUAGUAUACAUAAUGCAUAAUAAUUCACUAAUAUUUAUGCCAUAUAUACCAUGUCAAUUUUUCAGUUUUUGACCCCUUUUACAAACAGAUUAGCUUUAUACCUUAGUCUCUCAGAUGGGUGGAUGAAGGGAGCCGUGAAAGAGCCAUGUCAGUCUGUACUCUACAGCCUGUAUUGUACACAAAACAAUUCCAUGUGUUUUACACAGUGCAAUAGGUUCUGAGGAACCUCCCACUUCUUUUGUAGUCAUUAGGCUUCAAUGUCAUGCUUAAACUAGCCUAUAUUUAAUCCUUAAUCCCACUUUUAAUCCUUAAGCUGAAAUCAAGUCACUUCAAUAGGAAGAUGAAGCUCUUUAUUAUGCACUUUAAAAUUGCUAAAAAUUUUGGAUAUAAAUUCAGGCCUUGGAUAAUGGCCUGAGGUUCCUAAAAGUUAUGUUCUGGAGGCCACAAAAGAAUUGCAUCCCACUGUGUUGAAUGUAAAACAAGGGAAGAGAUAUCUCAGUGGGAGAUCUAUGUUAAAUACAGAACACUGAGGACAAAAUACUGUGACCAAAAUGUCCAAAUUGUCAUAAAGUACAAGUUGUUUAUUAACUCAAAUAAUUACAUCAGGCACUUAGAAAAUCUACAUCCCAUUCAUGGUUAAUUUUACAUGCAAUGGGUAAAGUUCGUUCCAUAUGUUAAAGGCACGUGAGUGCCACCAAGUAUAGAAAAAGAUUGAGAAGAUAUGUUCAGUUCCCACCUGUUCUUCCAUAGAUCAAUGUCAUUGCUUCCUUUUUUUUUUUUUUUUUUAAUGAAUAUAUAUCUGACUGGCAAAGUUUACCCAUUGAAACAUGAGAUGUGAUACUACAAAAGAGAAAGUCAUAUAACAUACUGCCUUUUUAACCAAAGAAAAUCCUUUUUUGCUCCUUAGAGAGGGAGUUAGUUUAUUGAAGAAAGACUGCACUUCUUGCAUUCUGGAAGAACAGUUUAUUCGUUGUUCUGACAGCAUUUAUUUGGAUCUUAAUGAAAUAGACUCUUGGAAGCAUGGGAAAACACAAUGUUUUCAGGUUUCCAUGAAUGUUUCCAUGCCAUUUUCUCCUUAGCAAUCUGCAAUAUGGAAUAAUUUCAGUCACCCUCUGUCUUUUGAAGAACUAUUCUGGCAUUAGAUUCUUACUUUGAGAACCAGAUGUUAAGGGCAUUUUCAUCAGGAAAAAUCAGAAGCCCUGCCCCCUGGAAAAAUAAACACUGGAAUACAAGCAACUAAAUUAUCUCCAGAUGCAAUAUUCUAGAACCAUGGAAAUAUAUUUCAUGUUGGAAGGGACCUUUGUCUACCAUCUUGACUCCCACUUUCAAAAUAUGGCUUAGUUGGCAAAGUUGCUCAGUGCCUUUUCCUCUCAAGUUUUGAGUAUCUCCAGGAAUGGAGAUUUCACAGCCUUGCUGCACCCUAGUUCCAGUGUUUUAAAGUAUUCAAUGCAAAUUCAUUUUUCAUUCAUUAUCUAAUCAAAGCUUUAUUUUGCUACAGCUUAUGUCUAUCACCACCAGUCUUCCUGCAGUGCAUCUUUGAGAAAACUCUGCCUUCUCUGUGAAACAUUCAAUAAGUACUUGAAAAAAAUAUUAGAUAUUUCAUUUUAAAAAGUUUGGCAAGGUACUGGAAACCCAGAACUGGGCAAAGAGUCCUUGAUGUGAUCCAAAAGAUGCUGUGAAAAAAGGAAAUAAUUACUUCUCUUGACCUUUUGGCUAUACUUUUGCAAAUGCAGCAUAACAUUAGGAACUUAUUCCUAUCUCACCUUCAACCUUUCCAUCAGGAUCUCAAGAUCCUUUUCUGCAAAAUAACUUCCUAGCCAGUUGAUACAUACCCUGCCCUACCCCACCCCAAUCCCGCAGUGUUGCAUGGGGUUGUGAUGUCCUGAGUACAGACAUUUGCUCUUGCUCCUGUUGAACUUAGUUGAGUUUCUGCCAGUUCAUUUUUUUCAGUCUGUUGAAAUCCCUCUGCAUGGGCAGGGAGGACAGCCGGGGAAGGCAGUUGUUCCCUAUGAGCUUGCACAGAUCCACCCACUAUCCAGGACCCAACAAAGGUGUUAGGCAUGAAUGGCCCUGGUAAUCACCUCUUUGCCACUUCUAGUCAGCUGCCAGGCAGACUUCAAACAGGUGAUGCACAUUAGGUCUGAAAUUUGCUCUUACUUUAUUUUUAGGAUAAUUUCUUCAUCUAUUUAAGGAUUUCUAGAAAUUAACAGUAAUUUCAUUACUUGUUACAUAUGAUAAUAACACUAAUUCCUUACAGAGCUCAUUGAAAAUACAGCUAAAACAAGUAUUGCAUAGAGUUUGUUCUGAUCCUCUAUGGAAUACUGAAAAGUAGAUACUGUAUAGAGUUAAUGUAUACAGGUAAAAUUUGUUAUGUUCUUUUAUAUCAGAAAUCACACAAUGGUAUUAGAGAGCAGGGAAAAAGGUAAGCUGGACCUUCUUAUCUGAAAGUUAUAAAUCUUACAGCAAUUCUGCUGUAGUUUUCACAAACUUGUUUUGAGAGUCUAUGGCAAAGUAAUCCAUACUCUUCAUUAUCUGUACGUAUUGGCUGGCUGACAGCUCCCAAAAAUGCAGGUGACCCAGACUAAUAAUUUUUAUCUCAGUCCUGUGCUUUAACCAGAUCUUCAUCUGAGAAUGCCAAAAUCAGAAAAUUCGGAUACUGAGAUAUCAGUUUCUGAUGUUAAAAAUGGCAAGAGAAUGAUAGAUAUGAAAAAGUAUUAGAAACUGUGCUCUUUCUCUCUCCUUUCUACCACUUUAAAUAUCAGCGUUCCCUACACAGAUGCAAUAGAGUGUAAAUAAGAGACCUGACCAUGCGGAAGCUGAAACAUGUUGUAAUGAGAUGGCAACACAUUCAAGAUAGCAAGUGUUUGUAAUAAACAACCCUUAGCUCUAUUUAUCAUUACUCUGGGAUAUCUAGAUACAGACACUAGUACUGAAAUGGGACCAUAAAAGUGAAACCAAACACAUUCAGAAACCCUUUUUCUGAUAAGCUCAAUCUCACAGAGGUUUUUGCAUGAGUAAAAUGAAUGUACUUGAUUGACUGGUACCAAACAGUAGAUAGUAAAGCUUGCCAACAGAUUAUCAGCGCUUCAGGGGAAAAAAUAUCUAGUUAUGUUAGAAAAGGAGUCACUGAGAUAUAUUUGGCAGUAAAACAGUUGCAUGAAGAAAAAUAAUUUACUUUUUCUAACCAGUGUACCUUAACAUAUCAGCAUGCUUGUACAAGUUGCCCAGAGAAGUUGUGGAUGCCCCAUCGCUGGAGAUAGUCAAGGCUGGGUUGGAUGGGAUCCAACCGGUAACAACCAGCCCAUGGCAAAGAGCUGGAAAUAAGUGAUCUUUAAGGUCUCUUCCAACCUAAGCCUUUCUAUGAUUCUAUGAUAUCCAGGAGAAUGUGCUCUUGCUUUUAUGAAAAGGCAUGCAGUUUUAUUGAUUUAAUUUAAAGGCAUGAAUUUCUCUUAAAUAUAACAUUUCAAUAAGGAAGCUAUACAUAAGCUUCCUUAAAGGUGCAUGCAAUCCAGGCAAUAAAUCCAGAAAUGCAUUAUUCUAUAACACAAGUUGAUUUCAUUGAAUGAUUUAAUGCAGUAUGCAUUCGAUUCAGUUCUUAAUGUACCUAAUUCAAUCAGUUGAUGUUUCUCAUUUGAAAGGUGAUGAAUCUUGAUUGAAGUGAUAUUCUGGAUGCUGUGAAUGCUACAUCUAAUUCAGAAAUACAGUUGAUGCACAGAAUGCUAUCACAGAUGCAGGAAGUCGUAUCAGUAACUCAGUGGUUGCAUGUCAUUCAGGGCAGAGUCUACUGAACAGACCUCCUCUGCAGUUUGGUAUGAAAACAUACAUGCAAACAACAUGACAGACACAAAUGUGAACUGUGGCACACAGAAAGGAAAUAGAAGAAGCUUAGAUAUUGCAGUAAGAUAAGCCAAAAAGCAAACUCGUAUUUCAGAUCACCUGACACUUUCACACAAGCAUAGUGCAAUUGCUACAGAUCUAAUGUGGCAAGAAAAUUCUGAGUUUCCUAAAACCAGUAAAUGAAAAGUAAUGUUUUUCCUGUUAUUAUUGCGAUGUUUUCAGAAAAAAAUGUAUCUAGCAAAUGCUUUUUGCUUAUUUUUUUCUUUACUUGACACACUAUUCAUACUUAGGAAGGUCAGAGGCAGUAAGGCUACAAGAAGCUGUGUUUCUUAUGAUGUUUGUCUGAGGGUCUGUGUGCUUGGUGUAUCUUCAACUUCUAUUGACACUGAACAUCUUCCACAAGACUAAUGGGAGCAAUGAGAAAUGUACUCCUGUCCCGAUUCUGUCUUUUGCCAUAAGUGGAGCCACACUGAGCUUUUUUUUUUUUUUUUUUUUUUUUUUUUCCCUUCCCCCAAGGGAUCAUAAUAGGCAACGAGCUGAAAAAGAAAGAGCAACCCCAAGGAUUUUCCUUCAGGGUAACUCUUCGUACUAUGAAAAAAUGUAGUUGGAAAGCUGGAAAGCCAGCUAACAAAGCUAAUUCUUAGCUAACUAGGAGGACAGCAAUUUCUAUUAUAACUAUAUAAGGAAAUGAAACUGCUGUAUUUUCAGUUUAUUAUUGCUUAUUUUUAUAUCUGACGUAUUUCAUCUCUGUGUGCUGUCAUUGAGACCAAGAAUAAAAAGCAACAUUAUUGGGCAUAAUGCUAAUGUUCAUCUUACUUUUUUUCCUUAGUGUUAGAGGAUUUGAAUCAUAACUAAAAUUUCGUACUUUAAGUGAAGAAAAAAUUUAUUUUAAAAAUUAAGUAUUUGCAACAGACAAGGGGGGAUGGUUUGGUUUGAAACUAAAAAGAGGACACUUAGGUUAGGAAGAAAGAUGUUUUUUACUCAGAAUGGUGAGGGGCUGGAACAGGUUGCCCAGAGAUGCUGUGGAUGCCCUAGAGACAUUCAAGGCCAGGUUGGAUGGAGCCCUGGGCAGCCUGAUAGUGGUUGGCAGCCCUGCCCAUGGCAGGGAGUUGGAACUGGAUGAUCUUUAAGGUCACUUCCAUCGUAAGCCGUUGUAUGAUUCUUAAGCCAGUGUAGCUCUCCUAGUCUUGGCUCAGAUAAAUUGGAGUCUGGUGGAUGGGUUCUUUACCCAAGAGAAACAAGCUUUCUCAUUUUGAGGCCAACUGUGCUGCAAAGAAAUGGACCUCUACUAGCAAAGCUGUUACAAAGCAGCCAGUGAAUACUUCUGAAGCAAUGUAAACUUUGGUUUUCUGAAUUGUAGGUUCUUUUAUGAGUAUUACAUGGAUGGGUAUGGAAGAUGAUUUCUGACUGUUUGCUUGCUUGAAUUGGGAGAAAUGACCUUGUGACUUUAUUAUAGUGAAAUUGAAAUAAUAAUAACUCUGCUUUUUGAGAACUUCAGCACUUUUUCUAGUGGAUCUGGAUUGGGAAUGAGAUGUGUAAAGAUUGUACUGAGAUUAUGGAGAACUGUACAUUGAGAGACACAUAAAAUUGUUAUUCUGAGUCUGUAAGUAUAAGUAAACAUUAAGCAGAUUUUUUAAAUAUUCUAGGAUCCAAAUUAGAUACUGUUCUGCAUGUUAAAGCAUACUGCUGGAGGAGCUUUUCUCAUUGGCUGUGCCACAUAAUUGCAAACUGUCAAUAACUUUACUCCCCUCCCUCCAGAUUGUUACCUAUGUGUGUAUAUAUAUAUUCAUACAUAUAUUCACAAUGGGGAAUGAAAGAAAUUGUGAGAAGAAAUCCCUAAGUAACUUUGCUGCUCUGUAUGAAUUAUCUAGACCCACACUUUGCUGGCAGAUAAGGUUGUUGACUAAAGAAAAGAACCUCAUAGCAAAUACAGUUCUGUGAGUACUUACAUUAAGGAAUAAGAAGGUAAAAGCAUUAUUAGAUAUGCAUAUUUCAGAAGACAUCAUGUUAUUAAACAGUGUGAACGUGAACUGAAAAUUUGAUAUUUUGCUGAGACAAUCACACGGCAUAAAGUGGAAAAGUUUGGCAGUGAAUUUGGUUAGGAGUGAAUACGAUCUAUUUUUUUCUAUCAUCAAUCUUUCUCACAUCUAGCUUGAAACAAUAGUUAUUAAUAAUUCUACUUUAGAAUCAAGUGGCCUACAAAGACAAAUGACAAGAGGCUUGAUCUGAAAACAUAUUUGCUAUCAAGGUGAAUUGUAAUUAAUGUGUUAACAAGCAGCAAAGCUUGUGGAAAAUGUGUGCAAAUGCUUCCCCCAGAAGAGAGCAACUUAGCCUGGUUGUUCUACAGGGCCAUCUGAUUUGGAGAUACUUAAACACUAAUUCAUCAAACCCAGAUUACCUUCAGUAAAAGAUUGCAAGUGUCUGCUAGAUCAUAACACAACCAUUAGUUGCUCUUAGCUUGAUAUAAGUUUGCAAUUAGUACAGAUUUCCUACGUUUACAAUGUUUUCUACCUUUCCAGAAACUUACCAAAAGUAGUGACUUGCAAAAAUGGCAUUCAUUAAUGUCUUUACCUAUCUAGGAUGUAAGUUUUCAUCACAAACCCUAUGAGUUACAAAUGUCUUCUCUAACUCUGUUAGGAGAGUUAUGCAUUGUUUCCCAAUCACUCUUCUGAGGGGGAAAUGUUGCCUUCUGACACAACUGAUAACAGAUGACUAGGAUAUAGCUUCAUGAUGGCAAGGCUUUUCUCUUCAAAAGCAGGUAACUAAUGUUUUAGGCCAGUGCUUCUUGAUGAACUCCCACAAGUCUGAAUUUCUGAAGGUGUUCAUCAUUGGGUGUGUGUGUUAUCCCUAGUGUUUAGUACAAAAUGUUGUAUGUACAAACAAGUUCAUUAAAAUUGCAAGAGCCUGUAGCACAUUUGUAACAGCUUGCCCAAAGGUUAACAUUUAUAGUUUUGCGCUGCCAACAUCCUGCUUUUAUGGGGCACAUUUGUAUGCUAAAUUGCCUAUUAUGUUAAGCUGUAAGUUCCCAUUUAGCAGCAUCAGGAACAAGAUUUGACUAUAAGUGUUUAGAUUUUAUUAGUGCUGUGCUCAUCUUCUUAACAGCUCAAACUUCCUACAGGCUGAAAUUUUGCUGCAUUCUCUACAGAGGUACUUAUGUACAAGCUGUGUUGAGAAAUGGUUGAGGAUAAGGAGAAUGGAAAGACAUAUAAGUCGUUGCUCACUGAUUGGGAAAAGGUGCCUUAUUGCAUCUCACCUCUGAGAGAAUCCUAAAUGUCAUGUUUAAGCAAUUAUUGCAUCUAAACCAAUCUCGGUAACAACUCCUUUUCUAGUUAACAGGACCAAAAAAGGUCAGCUGAAAAUGUUUCAAGAAAGGUGUUUUUAUUGCAAAGUAAAUACAUGCAGUCAUUUCACUUCUGCUGUAGGUUACUUCCCAAUGCACAACCAACAGAAUGAAAUGUGAUAUACCUGCCACGUAAACAGAAAUGGCAACUUUUUGUUGUAUAUGCAGUUCACAAAGGUAAAAGAAAUGCAUUUUCUAAUGAAAUUGUGUUGAUUGUUAUCUUCCCUCAGUAACAUGUACUUCUCUGGAGAUUCUGGGACUAUGGGAGCCACUGAUUAUCACAAAAGAUUUUCAAUACUAGGUUGCCAGUUUGUCAGAGACAGAGCCUAAUUUCACGUACUGCUUUAAAAACUUCUGUGACUAUUUGCCAUUUGUAGUAGAGGUUGAAGUCUGUUAGUGGCAACUGACUAUUGAAAGGGACUUGACAAAAAUGAUCAGAAUCCUGCUCAAGGCCAAGAUCAGACUUUACUUGCAAUUUGAAAAAAAAAAAAAUUGAGUUGUUUAUUUUUGAAUGCCUCUGUCGAAAGUGAGAAUGUAAGAAAUUAAAAUAGUGCUCUACCCCUAAGCUUUUUCUAGCUUGCUACAAAACAGGAUUCAAAAGAGAUGUGCUUCAUAGGCUUACCAGGCUAUUUUGCAGAUUAAUUUAAUUUCACAUAGUGGGGCUUUUUUCGUAGACCAUUGACGAGCUAUAGAAACAUAAGCCAUUUAAAACUCCUGUUGGUGUUAUGAUUAAACUGCAACUAGCUGUUGGCCCCAAUCAUAACUACAAAACACAAAAAGGGAACUUCAGUGUAUUCCUACCAAAAAAAAAAAAAAAAGAGAGAGAGAGAGAGAGAAUAACAAAUCUGUUUUGAUACAAUGGCAUUUUCCUGGAGGCAAGUGGGGAACAAAGGUAGGUGUAAAAUCUCUGGCAUGACCUAUAGCUGAAAAAGGCUACCCCACUCACUAAUGAAAUAGGAUUGCAGAGAGCUCUGAGUAUGCUGUACAGAACUCAAAAAUUUACUGAGAUCAUAGGAGUUGGGAGCGAGAAAGAUGCUUUCCAUGUAAAAUACAUUAUUUCCAGUAGGCAGAGGGUCCACACUGAAAGCUUUGAGGUCUCUGACAGAACCUGUCUAACUGAACACCUUGUCUGUGUUGGCAGUAAGGGCUGCAACCCCUUGCAAAUGCAGACAGGGCUUUACCUAUUAAGGCAGACUGUAGGGAAGAGAUGUGGAAAGUAGUGCAGAAAGUUUUUGGUGUUUUUUUUUUUUUUUUAAUGACCUAUUUAAAGUUGCAUUUUUCCAAAUCAUUUAAGGAAGAGACUUAGUUAAUGCUACUUAAUCAAAGUUCUCUGCAAAUAACUUAGAGGUGACAGGUCAGCAAAGACAAGCUUAUUUAAAGACUGUAUUUUAAGAUUUAAAAUGCUAAGAGUCUUACCAAGUCUAAUCUGCUAAGAAUUAUAAUAAAGUAUAAGAGAAGUUGAAACCUUAUUUAUUUCAAGAUCAGAUUUAUUAUUUUUUGAAGACCUUACAGGCAAAGAAACAGACAAGAAUUAACACAACAACUCUCUUUCUAAAAGCACCCAGCCUAUCUAUUCAGGUAAUUGGAUGAUGAUUGGUGACUUCUGUUAUCCAGAGUAUUUAUGAUUUCUGGUUGAUUGUUCUCUAUGGUCUAAAUGAGUUCCUGUAUUUAGGCAAUUGAAGCUAUUCACUCUGGGGUUAUUUUCAGUACUCAGACAUGAUAUAACAUCUGUAAAUAUGCUGUGACACUGUGCUAAUACUAAGUUCUUGGUUGUGAAUUUAUUUUUUUAAAGAGUUGUUGCUGUAGUUUGAAAUUAAAAUAGUGACCUUAGCAAGUACUAUCAUUAUUAUGCCUUCAGGGGACUUAGACAUGCUCUCAUUCACUCUGAUAUGCUAUUUCUGAUUAGUUUGGUGUUCUGAGCUUAUUAUUUUGCUGAAGAGACAAGAAAAAUAAAAAGGGGGUGGAGGGCUGUGUUGCUUUGUUCAGAUGCAUUUCAUAAUAAACCACUACACAGUAGGAUUCUGAUUUCAAGAUCGUAAUUGGAAUGGUAUUUUAAUUAGAAAUGUACACCUAGAACUUUACUUUUCCCAUGUCAGAGUUAACUUGGUGAAUAUGUAAUUGAGGAACAAAGCCCAAGUGAUUUUCCGUUUUUUAUUAGGAUAAGAGAAAAGUAGGGGGCAUCCGCUGAAGGCAUUACAAACUCCUAGAAUGAAAGAGAGAGAGAGAGCUCAUUGCUGUAAUGUGGUGCUCAGAGCUGGGAAAGGAGAAAACAUCAGCUAAUGAAAUCGAGUGAACCAGAAGUUCAGCAUUUCAAAGACGUCUUGACAUAACCACUGAUAUAUUACUAGCCUAAAUCCAAAAUAUAACUCAACUGAACAUUCAGGUUUUUGAGAGUGACAGGAUCUGAAUGCCCUUUUUAUAUCUAAACGCUACUUGAAUUACAAAAGCUCAAUAACGCAAGAACGAGGUUUCAAGAAGGGGGGGAAGAAGACUGAACUAUUCUUUAAAUCAGUACUAUCCCUCACAAAAAAAAAAAAACAAAGUAACCUAGGACCUGUUUUUAGAUCCAUUUGAAGAUCUGUGAUGCAUAUGAGUCAAGCACAUUAAGAAUAAAGCAGCAAAUCCAGACAGCUUUUAAAAAACAAAUGAUUUGCUUUAGUUGGGAAUGAAGCAAUCAGUGUUUGGAGAAUGUUUUUAACACUGACUUCUGGAAAGUACCUAUUCAGUGCAGGAAAUUUGUUUGAUUAUUUCCACAGGUAAACACUGUAUUUAUUACGUUCAGAAAACAACAGGAAUUUACAUAGCUGAGCCUACACGUACACUUGUAGCAUUUUUCUUCUCCUUUACAUUCAUAAUAAACAUGAAUUAUAUAUGGAGACAGCCAUGCUUUGUUUAAACUGCUACACUAAGUACUCCUUGACAGCAGUAAAUCAAUGGUUUGCUUUCUCAUACAUUUGAUUGAAUGUAAUAACUUGAAAAAACAAUUAAUCCAAGGGAUACACAGGGAUUCUUUACAGCUAAACAGUAUUAAAAGAAUAAUACUGUUCCAUUGUUCAUACAUUUGCUGUUUGCUGAUGGUCACACAUUACUGGCCUUGUGUAUUAUUUGUCUAAUUAUUUGAUUCUCAAAGUUAUUUUGCAUAACUUAAUGCUCUCACUUAAACUGGUGGCUGAAAAAAUUAUUUCCUCAUUCUCCAACUAAUCAGCCAAUUAACACUGGCUUUUGAAGAUAUUAACCAGAUUCUGAUUUCUAUUUCUGCCAUCAAAUUAAACUCAAAGCUCUUGGUAUUUUUUAUUGCCAGUAUUGGCAUAAAUUUUACAUACAAAUAUACAUAUGAUACUAAAAUGUCUGUAAUAUUCCCUGUGAGUUCCAGUUAGGCUGUUUGGAUACAUUAGGAGAGAAUAAGUGAGUGAGAUUGUUUGGAAGGUGUCUCAUCAGACUUCUGCUACAUGGUGCUGCCAAAUUAAUGGUGAAAACAAGACUGGAUGUACGGUGACAUUCUUCGGACAAAAAUGCAACAUUAGGUAAUGAACUUGCAGAGCUUAUUCCAGUAUGUUGCUAUGUGUUUUAGAAGUGGAGAAAUAGGAACAGAUUAUGGGAGAGAAAGAAAUACUAGGUGGAAUAUUUGUGUUUUUCUGUAUUUGUUGAGUGAAAUCAGUGCACUAGGAACAUCUUUUUAGGACUCUAUCUCUCUUCACCCUUGGUUUUCUUCAUUAAGUGUUGCAAUGCUGGAUAAAGCCUGCACCUAAUUAUUACUGAACUGGAUCUACCAAAUAAUGUGAGCUCAGACUACCCUUGCCACAUCUGAAUCAACUUCCUCCACCAAAAACGUCAGUUAAGAGAAGUUUGAUUUGCUAUAUAAAGGUCCAAACAAUUAUGUAAGAAGGUCUCAUUAUUGAAAAGUUGGAAUACAGACCGUUACAAAGUCUUCUAAAGAUAAAAGUGACCAGAAAGAAGAAACAAACUGUACACUCUGACUUUUAUACUAGUUAAGUGACUGAAUCUCCAUGAAAAUGUGCAGACACUUGCCCAGGGGGCAUGUUCAGUAUGGUGUCCUGCAGACUUUCUUUCUCCAGGCUGCAUUCCAAGACCCAAACAUGAUCUUUGAGGUUUGGGGAAAUCUGCUCUCUGCUCCUUGUAGAGGGGGAGAGACUAUUUCUAUAGAGAGAAAAAAUUGAACCUGAAAUCUUCAUCUACAAGUAUUUCUUAAUCUUUGAUUCAAUAAGGAUGGAGUUUCAGUUUCUUGCCAUUUUGACCAUUAGCUGCCUGUUCCUGGAAAACGUUGAUUAGGAACUGUCUUGCACAUGUCCAGAUGUGAGUACUGCCUGCUAAGACAGUAAAUGGAGUCAGUUAACAACUUUGUCAUGGACAAACUAUUUGCCAUAGUUUCAGGGCUGGAACAAGUGAGCCUUACUUCUAAUGAAGAAGGAAUUAUUAUGUGUUUCUCCCCUAUGAAGCUUAUGCUUUCUCCAGUAUAGUCUAUAUUCUUACAUUAAGAAUUUAAAUAACAAUUCCAGCAACCACGUAACUGAGAUCAAUGCAUGUAAGUCAUUAUUGGUUCCUGUUUGAGGCUGGCAGUGACCAAAUCUGUUUGGGACAAGAAGCUUCCAAAGGCAUGAGCUUGCCUUUAGGAGACAAGAGGCUUAAUUGUUAGCAGUACUAUGAAAAAUGUCUCUUUGCUUUCUGCCAGCUCUGUGUAAGGUUUCUGAAUAGUUUGUGUGCAGCCAGAGGUAUUGAUGUUUAAAUGAUCAAAAACGCAGCUUUGAACAUUUUUGUCUUCAGGCUUGGGUAUUUUCUUAUACUUUUUCAAAAAUGAAAUGAAGCCAUUGUAUAGCUGCGGAGGGAAGACAAACAAGCUCCUGUUAUACAGAUGACAAGAUGUUAAAAGUAAAAAUCCCAGAGUUAUUGUGAAGUAUAGAACUGUGUAUAGAACCUUUCUCCAAAAGGUGUUUCAAGGUAUAAGGAGGGAUAAUUAAAAAAUAAAAUAAGCAAGCCUGAUUCUGGGAUGAGUUAAAAAAAAAAAAAAAAGAAAGAAAAAAGAAAAACAACAACAAAAAAACCCUCUUCAUUUUGUCCUUGAAACCUCACAGAGAAAAAUACUUCAUAAAAGCACCAGAGGUAUUUUUCCACUAACUGAAAGUGGGCCUCUGUCAUUUGCUGUAAAGAUCUGAUGCACUUUAAUCCUUAGGGUUAUUCACUGCAUUUCCACUUAGGCACUUACACUUUCUCUCCCUGACUCUUACACUGUCGUAUGUAUUAGCAUGCUAAUAAAUGCACGUGGGUGUACCUUGCUGAACAACUGCUAUCAAAAUAUUAUCUUCCAUUUCUGUUUCAGAGUGUGCUAAAGUUUUGUUACAAGUUGUCCUAAGUACCCAGAUGGCCACAGUCACCAAAUUCAUGGUCAAAUGUCUCAUUUUUCAUAAUCUUUUUGAUGUCAUUUUAAUGACAUUAAUACAUUUUCAUGUAACGUAAGAAGUGGUAACUCUCUGUGUAUUACUCCACAUUACUGAAUGAUGUGAAUAGACGUUUCACUGAAAAUUUCUACUUGAAAGGUCUGAGAAGCUGGACAGGUAAAAAUUCCCAAAGGUAAGUGUUUAUUUAGAAAAAUCAUGUAAUUGUCAAAUGAGAGAGAGAUUAUGAUGGUUGGAUAGGGCUGUUGAAUCUCAAAAGCCAAGUGACAAUGAAAAUAAAAUAGCACUUUGAAUUAAGAUGACCUGAUUUUAUUUCCCUUCUCCCACUGAAUGGUUUUAAUAACUUUCAAGGACUGUGCUGUUGUGCAUGACUACGCUGGUCUUGCAUCUUCCUCUGUAGUACGAGUCCUCCUCUGCAUUUUUUUUUUUUAAUAUAAAUUGCAGUGAAAUUAAAAUGAUUGAUAAUUGAGUUUGUAAAACAGUAUGGCAGUCACCAAAGCGAGGCUAGUUUUGAUGUUGCCAAGAUGCUUGCUGCAUUUUUUGCUGCAUUAAGGGGAAAGAAGAAAGUCAAUUCCCAGAGAACAUUUACUGUCUAAUCUAAGGACUGGUUGUCCUUCCAUUUUGUUUAACCUCUUUUCAGAUGUUUGAUGGAAUGUGGACAGGUAAUUGAGUGUAGGAUCAAGUCUUAUUCCUGGAAUGGCUUUUAGGGCUACUGAAGUAAAUUCUCUCAGUACAAUAACAUCAAGAAACCUUUAAGUAGAACAUCUUGCAUUGUGGUCAAAGAGAUUCAAAAUGUAGCAUUGUAAUAAGCAAGGUUGUUAAAAAUAAGCCAACUGAAGGCAGUAGGCUUCUCAUAUACAAACAAACAUUCAUCCUUAGCAGGAAAACAACAGCAAAAGCACAAAUUCAGAGGAUUUUUUUUUUUUUAAGUACAGCAUACAGUAAUAAAAUGUGUUAAAUCCAGUAGUGCAUAGUCACUGCUUCCUUUUCCCUGUACCUACAAUGUAUGUGAGUCUGCCUUGCUGUCUCCUUCAGUUCAAUUGAGGGUGAUGAUCACUUGCUGCCAAACCAAAACGAAAAGCAAACUGUUAUUCUCACAGCAGUAACAAGGUGGUGGGUUUUAUUUAUUUAUUUUUUUUUCAAUGAAGGAGCAUGUGCGCUCCAAUUAUUUGACUUCAUGUCAAAAAAACUCGAUGUUGGCUAUGUUUGCUCUCUCCUUUCCAGUCAACGUGCUUACAGCACUGUAUUUUCUAAUCUUUCUGGUGCGCAGGCUGACACUGCAGCACCACAGUAUAGUCUGUUACCUUCUGUCACGUCUACUUAGAUCUAAAGUAACAUGUAUAUACUAAGACACAACCUGAUGAAACACAGCACGUUGGCAACAUAAAGUCGUGCUCCUUGGCCUUGGGGACAAGUACAGAAACUGAAAUACUAAUACAAAGACACCACAGGCAAUAGUACAUUUGUUUACUGCCCUCAUUGGUGAAAUGGAAAUUAUUCCAUUUUCAGUGAUGACAAAUUUGGUAAUAUUUAAAGAAAACAUUUGCUGAAAUGUGUGAUCUCAGCAUAGGGUUUGUUUCUCACUACUUAUUUUUCAAAUGUUAAUGAGAAAAUUAUAAAUGAAGAGAGGACCAAUGUAAGUAAUUUCUACUGCUUAUUAGAAACCAGUUAAAUAUGAUUAAACUGUAUAUGAGCUUUUUCUCCAAUCCCAUUCAUGAACUGAAUUUUAUUCUGUAAAAGUAUUUUUGUAGAAGGAUCAUAUAUAGAAAGCAUGUCAUGACAGAUUUAUCAACAAAUUCAAUUAAACUAAAAGCUAGAAUGUCUGCACUAGCAAAAUUGUACAUGAGAAAUUGCCUCAUGAAGUUAAUGAUAAUACAUUAUGUCUACUGAUGAUCCAGCCUUCUGGCUCCAAUUAAGCUUCAAAAACAGCUAAAAGUAAACCAGAAUCCUUUGCACUGUCAAAACAAAGGAAUACGACCCUUUUAAACUUAACAUGAACUGAAGGCUCAUAAAGAUCUUACUAAAAAGAAAUUGUAAGGUGUUUAUUGUCAGUAGAAGAUAAUGGAUGGGUACAUUCAGGAAAUAAAGCUACUGCUCAACAUUUAGAUGAAGGGGGGAGGGUCCUCUCUGCAGCUACCUAGCAUGCUGAAUUCAAUGGUUCAUCUCCUGUCUUUUCCAAGUAGAAAGGAAAUUUCAUUAUUAUAAAUACCAUUUUCUCUGGUAGGCAAUCAAGCUGGGGAGACAGAUCAUGACCAAUAUUUAUUAAAACACCUUUUACUACUUAGGUUCACAUAUAUUUAUAUUAUGAAUAGACUCAAGCUUUCAUUAUUAGCCACAGCUUUAUAAUAAUUAAUAAUUCACACCAUACAUCCAUUUACAGUUCAGACACACACAUGCUCUCAUAGGGUUACUCACAGUUAUGUGGAUGGAGUAACAGCUGGAGGCCAACUGAAAGAGUGGCCUAGAGGUAGGUCUGGGAGACCCAUUAGGGUGCAUGUAUUACACCAGGGUCUGUCAGAAUACUGCAGCCUCUACCCUCCUGGCUAUGAUCCAUGUGAUACAACCUAUUGUUGAUGCUACUAUGUACCAGUUGCUUUGAAAAAAUUCAGUACAAUUUGGAGUUCUAUCACUUUUUGCAGGUUCAGCUGGACCAUCAGUCUCCUCUUAUCAGACCUUAGAAGAAUUUAAGCACUAUUUCUUUGCAUGUGUGUAUCUUCUCUUCAGCCUGCUAUUUCCUGUUUGUUUUUUUCUUGAUCACCUGUCCAUCUGUAUGUUGGUUCUCCUAGAUCUGUAUCUCACCAAGGACAGAACUUUCACAAGGGUUUACACAAAAUGCUACGAUACAUUGUCACUUGUACGCCUGCCAGGUUAUACGUAAAAGGUGGAGAUCCAUCUUCAAAUCCACAUUGUGCAUACUUGGACUAUGUAGUAAUGCUAAUUAAUGAGUAGGAUUCAUUUUCUUUACCCUCCUGGCUUAACAUAUUUGCAGCUCUUUUUGAAAGGCAAUGUCAGUCAAGUAAUUCAUAUACAGGUAAGAAAAAGAGCUGUAGAGCUCUCAUUUCUUAAUUUUUAGGUUCAAGAAGAGGGAAAAAAUAUCACUUAUUGGAUUUAACUAUUGACCAUAUCAUUGAUGCUUUGGGAAUAAAGGACUCUCUUCUGUUCUGUUGGAGUGCUGCUGGACCUCAUCUUGCUCACAUUAGUCAUUAACUGAAGAAUAAGAAUGUUGAUUUUGCUGCUUGAGUGCUAUCUGCUUGUUAUUUUUUUUUUCAUGUUGGGUACAGGUUGCUGUCUGUUAAAAGACAAAAGAAAAUCAAUACUAGUGUUGAAAAGGAACUUUGUGUAUUCAGCUUUGCAAAGUUCUCCUGUGAGCACCAAGAAAAGAACUAGUAAUAAGGAAAAAAAAAAUUAAAAAAUGCCAGACUUAAUUGCCAGUGCACACAUAAAGCAAUGUUGUUUUUCCAAUUGCAGAGAACAGAGUAAAAAAUAAAGAGAGGGUGAAGCAUUUUCCAAGGAAGAUAUAAACGGACUGAUGACAUACAUUUGCAUUUCAGCUGUACGUUUACGCCCUUUCAUUUAACACUGAUGUGUCUUGAACAGUUUGUUGAUAUAGUGUGAAAAAUUGAAAGAGAAAAAUGAAUUCUCCAUAUUUAAAAUACUAGGAAAAAGGCAAGAUUUUUAUUUCUGUUGUUAGCAAGAAUUAUUGAAUCAUCACUAUAAUCUUUUAGGUUCCAGUCUCUGAAUAUUUCAGUGCGUUCAUCUCAGCAUUCUGAAGAUGAGGAAACCUUAAAUAAUUUAUGAUCCUAUCAGGAAAAAAAAAAAUGGUGAGUCUGCAGUGCUACGUUUUGGCUCUUUUUAUUUUUUGUUCUUCUUUAAAUUAGUUAUGCAAGGGAAGUAGAUAUAUUCUCUGCCUGUUCCUGAAUUAAGAUACAGAUAAAAAAAAAUUAAACAGAGCAAACAAGCUAGAUAUUGAGCCACUAGAUUGAGUUUGAUUCUCUACUGUAUUAGUCUCUUUUCCUCUAAAUUUCACACUGAAUUUCUGACUAAUUUCUAAUUAGUUACAAGAAUAUUUUUCAUAUACCUUGAUACCACAAUGAAAAGGCUUAGGAAGAAAUCUGUAGUGUCUUUUCUGGUAAGAAGCAGAACAUAUCAUUCACCUGUGAAAAACUUGCCUACUAAGACUAGAAUUAAUGAUGUCUGGUGCUGGGCUUCUCUGAGAUUCCCAUAUAAUUUGUGAGUUGCUUGCCAAGACAGACCUGCUCAACACAAUUAGCUUUUCAUGUACUAACGGGAGCAGGAAGAGCUGCCAGCAAAGAAGACAAGUAAAACAAUCCUAAAAUACCUACCAGUUUGCUGGGAGGUGAGACAAGGUACACUGUAUGAUGAGUUGGGAAAAGAAAAAGCAGGCUUGGUUGUCUUCUGUUCAUUGACACCAUUUCACAGAGCAUAUGUAACAGCAGGAAAGGAGGAAGGACACCAGCUAUUAGAUACCGAUGUCUGCCAGUUCUGUAGCUUUCACUUUACUGCUUUUGGUGGUUACCUUGUAAAAACCUAUUUAAAAGAAGCAAGAUGAAGUAGUAUGUACCACUGUGGCACGUUGUAAGAAACUUCAAUCUUCUGUUAUCCUUCUCAUUUCUUUGUCAACCUGGUCAAUCUUCCCACUUCCCCCAUCUGUAGUAUUAAAUGAUUUGAUUGAUCAUACUAGACUCUGAGACAUAAAGUAUUCAGAAGGAUGUGAAGAGUUGCACUGGCUGUUUACAUAGGAAACAUCAUUUAGAAACCAGACAGAGAACAGUGCUCUGCGGAUGAAUGCAGAUACAUACUCGCCACCUAUCUGGCUACAUGUAUGUAUGUUUCAUAAGACUAGAAUUAACUUCUCUCUUCAAAAAGCUGACACUAAAAGGACACUCACUCUGAGGGACAUGGUUUCAUGGGCAGGGAGGUGACGGGUUGAUGGUUGACUACUUUUGAAUUAUUUCCAACCCUAGUGAUUCUAUGAUUGUACUAUAAAGAAACACAGUCUAAGCUUGGAAGUCACAUACUUUUUGAGUAGAUGAGAAAGAUUUGCCUAUUAAAAUCUAUGAGUACUAAAUGGAAUCCUGGGGCAUAUUUCUUUAGGAAUUUUAUAGGUAAUCACUGGAAGAAUGCAAGAUGUUGAUUUUGAAGAAAAUAGCCAUUCCUUUGUCAGUGUAAGGCUAAAGUUCUUUGCUAGAGGUUUUUUAACACUCUCUUCAGUGAACACAAAAAUAACUUCCUCACCUCACAUCCAGCUCCAGCCAGCUUUGGAAGUUUGAGAGAUAACUUGGUAUUGUUCCACCAGCAUACACUAGAAAAAAAGAAGAGAGAAAAUGCUGAUCCAGGAAUCCUUUUAAUUCAAGCAAUUAAAGAAGUACAGUUCUGAGCAAAGCAGUUUGUGUUUAUACUCUACAUAUUAUGCAAUUAAAAAAAUAAAAAAAUCAAAAGCUCUUAGGGACUGCACUUAUUUUUUAAUGAAAUCAAUGUCUGCAUCUAGUUACUAAUAAGUAACUCUCAAUAACAGUUCCUUACAAGAAAGUUAGUUAUUUCAGCUUCAGGCAGAUAAAAGGAUUAUUAGAAAACUGAGUGUGUCUGAAUGUUUAAACAUUCUUGAAAAACAAUACUUUGACAUCAGCUCAAGCCCAUAUAAACAAAAAUAACUUUCCCACUAAAAGCAAAGGAGGACACAGAUUUUAUGUGAUGGAUUCUGGACUGGUGGUAACAUCUACGAUAAACACACAAAUAACCAACCUUUUUAGAAUCAUGACUGUGGCAAAUUUUGUCAGAAUUUUAACUAAUAAGGUGUGCUUUUUUUUUUUUUUUUUUUUUUUUUUUUUAAAUCUACCCACUGCUAUCUUAUACUUAUUAGGAUUUUCCGCUGUAGCAUGCAUCACACUACGCAGUAGACUUACUAUGUAAAAUACCAGCAAAAAAGGUUGACAUAAUGACUCAUUACAAUUUAAAUCUUAUUACACAAAGCUUCAUUCAAGUCAAUAUACAUAGUACAGAACGGCAGGGGUACAUUUUAGCCUGGUGUGAGCAGAAUGAAUCAUGCAAUUCUCAUUAUAGUUAAUAGAAGGAACAGAUCUAUUGCUGCAUGUGAGCCCCUGGAAGUGCACCACACAAUUCAUAUUUGAAUCAUGCUGGGAAAUGGCUACUCCAGUAAACAGACAAAGUACACCAGCAAUGUUUUAAACUUUAAAGUUCAUCUGAUUCAAUUUUUUUGGAAAGGACAUUUCUUCAUAUUAAUAACCUAGUACAAAUACAUCAUUGGCACUGAUGAUUACUCCUAAUUGCCACAAGGACAAGCAGAGCUUCUCAGAAGCUUAAGAAGUAAGGGACAUAAACCAUAUUAAUAUGGAUCAAGUCUGUCCUCUCUGCUCGUUAUCUUCACUGACAGACUGCUAUCUUUUCCCUUCCUAGGCUCUUGCAAACAUUGUUGUCCAUGCAGAAAUGGUUAUUACUGAACCUGGCUUCUCCCUUAUUGAAUUUUAGGAUAUAUUUUUAAUUAUUAUUUUUGUAUAAACUAUGCUUGAAGACUAAUAGCUUAUAUACUUAUGGUUUUAGUUGCUUGUUUUACUAAUGGCUUGUUCCAGCUAAUUAAAAGAAAUCUCCAGGAAAUCUCUUUCUUCUGAUAAGUAGGUUGCACAAACAGCUUCAAGGAGAAUGCAUCCUUCUAGCCAUAAAUCUGUGCUUUUAACCAACUGCCAACCCUGACUGCAUACUCUGUAGUGGUAUGCCUGUAGUUUCACAUGCCCUCAAAAAGUGAUAUUUAUCAUUAAUUAUUGGUUGCUUUUUUUUUUUUUUUUUAAUAAGUAUCCUGUAAAGUAUGGUUAAUUAUGGAUAAUGCUCCUGUGGAUUAUAAUCCAACAUCGCUUUUACCGGGCAUAUCUACAUCAAAAAGGAUUAAAUUCACAAAUAAGCACAUCUUUCUAGUUAACAAAAUGGAUUUUUUUUCUUUUUUUUACUGCAGUUUGGGGAUUUCAAUUAUGUAUAUGAACUUCAAGAAAAAGUUUUCUUAUCUUUUCCUUUCCCUAAUUUUUGCAAACCAUGAACCCCCCACCUCAAUUUUAAUUGACAUAGCUUGCAUUGCUUACAAAACUUAAAUAAGUAUAAUCAAGUCACUUUUCCAAUUAUCAGACAGAGAUCUUUGAGAAACAAAGUUGGGUGUGUUUUGAAAGCAGAAGCUAGCUUGAAAAAAAAAAAGAAAAGAAAGAAAAAGAAGAAGCUUUUAUUAAAGAUGAAAGCUAUACAGAGUGUGCGUUUGAAUUCAUUUGGAAAAGAAUUCAAAUAGCUAAAAUCCUCAAAGAGCAGAAAGGUGCAGGUUACCAGUACAGCGCUGCUUCUGCAGAAUGGCAGCAUCAUCAGGAAUUCAGCUUCAUUGCUGAGAUUUCACAGAGAAGCAGUAAAGCACCUCUUAUCCAAAGGGCUUCCAAAGGCACUUUCUGAAAGAGCAGGGUUUCCAUUGUGUCCGUGUUGUGAGCUUGGCAGGGGUAUUCAUCAACCAUUAUUGAUUUAGAAGGAGGCAUGGCUGGAGUGAGGAGGAUUGAUCUGAAUCCUCCCUUGGCUAAGUUAACUAUUUGAGAGAUCUAUUCAUAUCAAGAUGAAGCACUGAAGAAUGACCUACAGUGACAGGAAGCGGGUAUCUAUCUUUGCAGUGUGUGUGUAAAAUUCUGGUUUGUUGUUCUUGGGUUUGGAUUGUAUUUACUUAUUUUUUUCCUCUCCCCCUUAGCUUUUAGAAACAUUAUCUUUGCUAAGUCUAGUAUUUCCUGUUAUUUUUCUUUCCAGGCAAUUACCUGAGGGACUAGAGUGGCAGUUUCUACGGAGAUGAUAUGGGGAAGGGAAGUGGGAGAAAGAUUUCUCGACUUUCUAUUCAAGUUAGUCUGACUUGUGUAAAACCAAAUAAGAUAGGUAAUACCUUAGCUCAACUGUACUGGUCAACCUCUCCUCUGAAUUUCCUUUUAAUAUAUGCCAGGGUUAUUUCUGUUGUCAGUAUUGCCAUCCUUGUCUUUUCUGUUUUUUGUAUUAGUUCUCUUCCAGAAUAAUCUACAACUUACCUUUCUCAGAGAGAGGACCAGGGGCUAAUGGGGCUCAGGAGAAUCACUCUUGGAUACUCUUUGAUGACGUCCCUUACCUGGACACCAGUUGAACUUGGACUUCCCAUCUCUGUGAUCAUGGGGCCAUAUUUCAUCAGUAUGUUUUUGGCCAGCUUUAAUAUUACAUCCCCAACACCCUUCUACAGAUCUUAUGAGUACCGAUUUUCUUUACUGACAGCCAUCCAAAAUGCUUCUGCAAGGAGCAUUUCUCUUCUGUCACAUCACAGAUAACCUUCCUGUCACGUGCCGAUAUGGCCUUUCCUUCAACUCGUCAUUUCACAUAAAGUACUGAUACAUCAAGUGCCAUCACUGAUUAACUUCUGAUCUCAGCUUGUUCAGUGGUUUACUGGAGUUAGGGACAAACACAUUUGUUGUUUGCCUUGUGCUGUUCUUCACAGUAUAGAAGUCUUUUCUACAGAAACACAUAAAAAGCCAUUUCAGUCUUUUUUUCCCUCUCUCUCCCCCUUCAAAAAGCCUUUUUCAGGGAAAUACAGAUACUUUUUUGCUUAUAUGCUGCUGGCUCUAGCCCUGUGGCUUCCACUUAGCUGAGUAACAUAAGAUUUAAUCUCUUCCUAAAGAAAAAAAAAGGUGCACACAAACAAAAGAGAACCAGAACAAACAGAUAUAUCUUUCAUUAUUUUCCUGUUAAUCCCAAAUUAAAAUACUCUGUUACUAUUCCCACAAUAAAUUUGGAAAAGGUGAGACUCUGUCUAUACAAAAUAGAUCCAUUACAUGAAUUAAGCUAUUUAUCAGCUUCAAAUUCUGCACAUACUGACAGCUGAAUUGUAUUUGGUACACACCUUCAGACAUCUUUUUCUUUCUGAUUAUUGUAGUGACUAGCACAACAGGUUACUUAACCUGUGAGUAGGGCUACUGUAUGCUACUAUGCUAUUAUUAAAAAAAAAUUCAGAAGACCAAAGAGUCAGUAUGUCAGUUUUAUAAUAAUUCUAUAUAAAUGCUACUGUAAUUUAAACUGCUAUUGUAAUUUAGAAUGUCUUUAAAACCAGCCCAUUCAGAUCGGACAGCCUUGUAGGAAAAGAACAAAGAAGAUCAUAACCGUUUAAGGUAAGAAAUAAACAAGAGCACAUAACAAAUCCUUUUGAAGAUGUUAAUUAUGAAAAGGAAGGUUCCACUUUUCUGUUUUAAGGCAUUCCUGUUAAGUGAACAAUAGAAAUCACAAUCACUCUUUUUCAUGAUUCAUUAAUUUAGGGAGGAAACAUAAACAGUCCAGUUCUUCUAAAAAGAUGACAAGUAAAUUUGAAGAGAAAUCAAGGACUGUGAAGGAUCCAACACCUGUCUAACAUAUUCUUCUUUCAGAAGGAAUUUCUGUUAUGGCCCCCAAAAAGAUCAGGGUUCUGAGAUUUUUGUUAUUUUAUAUGUCUCAUCUUUGCUGCUAAAACCACCAGACUGCUUACUGUCUUCCCAAUGAAGUAAUCAUCAAAUCAUCUUAUAUUUCCAUUUUAUUGCCUUUACAUUUAUGAAUCGCAGCAUAUUGAUUUCACCCUUACAUUGCACUGAGUUUGACUCCCGCUUAAUAGACAAAAUGACUAUUUGCUUUCUGCAAACCCUACUAUCUCUUUCUUUUCUUCUCUGCACUAUAAUCUGUGACUUACAAUAGGCCACUGCUCAGUAAAAUGGUGAGGUGCUAGUUCAGCCUAAUAUUGUUCUUUUUUUUAAAUCUAACUGCCAGUCCAUUGUUACCGCACUUUUCCAGUACAUGCUCUUCAAAUUAUCUGACUUCCCAAUAAGUUGAACAGUGUAUUAUGUUCACCUGAAAAUUGUUCAGAUAAUUAUCUCAUACAAUAUUUGAUCCCUUCCCAAUGUUCAGUGUUGGCUACUGUUCCCUACUCCAUGCUGUGCAGUUCCAAUUUAUCAUUCAACUUCUGUAACGUUGAAUAUUACGCUGAAUUACACAUCAUAGUGCAUUCAAUCCUUUGCUGUCUUGGAUGUCACAUACAGCACUGGAUUGUCAUUACAGCAUCCUUCAUUAAUUUUUUGUUGUUUUUUUUUUUUUCUUCUAAACCUUUUCUCACUUCUAAGGCUGCUGAUCUGUGACUUAAAAACACAGUGCAAGUCCUAUUUCAUACACUUAAUGAGCGAACAUCCUUCAUAACAUUUGUUGGAAGUGCACGUCACCAAAGCUCCACCAACUCAUACUUGUCCCGAGUCUUCCUGUUUCCUUAACCUACUCAUUUCCUGUCAAAAGGUUUUCUCAUGUUUUUACCAGGAAAGGUAUAAAUUUGUUCACGUCCAUUUCUUAUUAGGAGAUCAAGUGACAUAUUAGACCCUAAACACUUUUGCCUUUUCUGGUUUCCUUGCAGAAAAAAAAAUAAUUCAGACAAGAGAGCACAGUACUCUCACACAAUAGCUUCUGCUUUUGAAAUAACAACCUGAUACAAAACAAGAUGUAAUUAAUUAUGUUUUAAAACUGUAGAGUGCCUUCAUCCUCACAAUAGCAUUUAGCCCAGUGAUCCCAGUGAACUCAGGGCUCCCUUAAAUCAGCAUGAAGUACGUAGAUCACUCAGGAAGUAAUGCCUCCUAUUUAUUUCCACAGAAUAUGUGAUAAAAAGAACACGGUAACACUAUUUGAUAGAGCAAAUUCUCAGCUACAAAACACAAUUUUUCAGCAUAGCCACCACUCUUUGCUAGUGAAAAUACAUAGCAAAGAACAAGAGCCUGCAAACAGUGCUUGUAGACGUCUGCACCAGCUGAGAAGACCCGCUGUCACCACUGCUGAAAAGCACCACCCACUGCCUCACCAUGCUCACAUGAAUCAUUUCAGUAGGAAGGGACCACUAAAGGUCAUCUAGUACAAUUCCUCUGCAAUGAACCGUCACUGUUUGGUCUCCAUAACCAUUCAGCAAAAGGGUGCUGAAGGGUGCAAUUUUCUUCUAGAAAAAUACCAUUAUUCACUACUUAUUGCCCUCAACCUUUUGUCAGCUUUCAUCUCUUUACAAAUUUUACAGAUUUAGGAUCACAGUAUCAUUUGAGUUGGAAGGGACCUUUAAAGGUUACCUAGUGCAACUCCCCUGCAAUGAAGAGGGACACGUACAGCUAGACCAGGUUGCUCAGAGCCAUGUCCAGCCUGACCUUGAAUGUUUCCAUCCACCACCUCUCUGGGCAACCUGUUCCAGUGCUUCACUACCCUCAUUCUUCUGAAGAAAUGUCUUCAGUAAAAAAUGAAAACAAAGAUUAGCAUCUAUUCUGAAGAGGUACUUUUCCAGCCCACUGCAUAAUGACUGCAAAGAGAAAGAAUGUUGAAUACAUAUUUUUUUAUUAUUAUUAUUAUCAAUCCCACUGGUUUCAGGUAUCUAUUAUUGCAAUGCAAACAAACUAAUAUAUAGAACACUAUUUUUAAAAAGAGAAGCUGUAAAAUGAUAAGCAUUUCCAGAAUCUACACAAAUGCAACAAGAAAAAGAUCUGCUCUCACAUUAGCAAGACACAUUGGUACUUUUGCUAAAGUACAAGAUCUGACCUAACUUCUUAAUAAUUAGGAAUAUUUCUGAAACUUAAUCAAAUAUUACAUUUAGAAAUAGUAUAAUUUUCAUUUCCUUUGAUUAAAAUAGAUUUUAGCAAUAUAGCCUCAUGUCUCAUACAUCAAACUCCAGAGAAGCAAUCAGCACAAUAGUUGGUGGUAAGAGAACUUAAACAUUUUAUUAUGGGCAAUUUAUUAUAUGAAAUAGCACUGAAAAUUCAUCUUCUAUUAAUUUUAAUCAGGGGCUAGCAUUUUAGCAGGCCAAUAAGCCAAUAAGUCAAGCAAAGAACAGAUUAACUAAAUGUACAUUGGAAAAGACAGUACAAAACCUGCAUGUAGAGUAGCUUCUCAGCUGCUCCAAUUCUUAAAGAGAUUAAAGGUAUGACUGUUGUGUAUUUCUUCAACUAAUUAUCAUUCUGUAUAAUGUUAGCUUCCAAGUUGUUUCUCUGGUGCUCUCCUAACAGCAGUCUGCUCAUUGCUGCCUGAGACUGGAACUACUACAGGAAAAGCUAUACUGUAAAUAGCAUAAAUUUAACUUCAUUGAAAAUCUUCUCUGUUCCUUUUCUUUCUUACUUUAACCCCAGCGUGGAAAAAGAGCCCUUACCCCACCAAGAAGGCAGUCCUUAGAUGGAAGUUCUACACCUAUUAUUUGGCACUCAUUUCAUCUGUCCUCAAGUGUAUUUCAUAACCACAGCUGCUUGCUAACAUAAAUUAAACCAGCUUUUACACAUGGAGUUAACAAAAACAUGUGAAUGGUGAGGGUAGCAGUGCCAUCAUGAGAAAAAGGCCUCUCUAAGUUGAGCUAUCUACCCCUUCGACAGUGAAGCAGGGGGGAAGCAUGGCAGCAUUGUUACACAGCACACAGCUGAAUGAUGGCUGAGCAGAGCUUUCAAGCCUUUUAAUCUGUUCUUUGAUCAUCUCUGAAAUAGAUCAAGGCAAAGCCAUUCCUUUCCUCUCUGACAAAAAGUACUUCUCUAUAUUAAACAUAUCCUCCUAUUUUAUAUGGUAUCAGAAAAUUGGGCUCAGUACAUCACCUACUUACUCCAUUUCACUCUUCUCAGUAUAAAGGCCUGAGCCUAGAACUGCUUUGAACCAUGUCCUCCAUUGAAUAGUCUGAGUGGGGCAAUGUCCUUCCUGAACUGAGGCUGGUAUGACUGACAAAAGGAGCCAUAAGGAAUGCUGAAAGAAACAGAACUGUUUGUGUAGAAGGCCUUUAAAACUAAAGAGAAGAAUUCUCACAAAUGAUGCCGUUUGUGGAAGUUGAUAUUAUAAGAAUCAGUAGAUAGUAAGAAAAAUUAGUCCAGAUUGGAGUACAUUUAUCAAAGCCUUUGUUGUCUUAAGAACAGAUAGUUCUGUAGUGUAUGUUAAAGACAUGCUAGGGCAUAAAGAUAGACUAGUACAAGAAAUCAAUCAAUUUGGGUCAAAACAACUUCUGAAAAGUAUGCUUAAUAGUUAUUGAGAGGCCAUGGGGAUUCCUUCUAUAUGGUCUAAUAGGUUAAUUUAACUCACGACGAUAUUUUUUCAGUAUUUAUUAAACAGGUGGACAAAAGACACUUGUAAUUUUGAAAUUUCCUCUUACUGCUACCAGCAGCAGUUAGGCUCAUAUGUCAUAGAAUCAUAGAAUAGCCUGGGUUGAAAAGGACCACAAUGAUCACCGAGUUUCAACCCCCCUGCUAUGUGUAGGGUUGCCAACCACUAGACCAGGCUGCCCAGAGCCACAUCCAGCCUGGCUUUGAAAAUGUACUUCACUGUGAAAUUUCACAAGGUUCUUCAACAAAGAAUCAACACUACUACAGGGUAGGGAUGUUGUCUUAGCCACAGUUUUGGUAACCAGGGGGAAUAUUAAACAAGUGACAGAAAAAUAACCUUGUUGGUGAAGAGACACCAUGUUUGCUCAGGUUAAAUUUAAUGAAGAACAGAAAAAAGAUGGUCUGUGACCAGCAUCUCCAAUUUCAAAAGGGCAGCAAAAAAGAAACAUUCUCUUAGUUUAUUACCAAUCUCUCAAUUCCUGCAUUCAUAGAUUUAUACCCUAAAUUUUGAAACAAAACAUUUGGAGAAUGGAAAGUGCCCUUUAACAUAUAGUGAAAGAGAAGACACGUUAUUAAGGGGACUAGAGAAAACACUGGGAUUUUAUAAUAGUAAUAACAGGUAACUUUGAAUAUUCCUGCCAUGAGCAUGCCAGGUAUUCAUUUUUGCAUCUGAAAAAACAUUCCUAUUUCACCACAGUCUUCUGGAUGCUAAACUCAGAAUCAAAAAUAGCUUAAAAUUCAUCAAGUUAACAGUAGUUACAUUGGCACACAGCAUAAAUCCAUAUUUUGACAACCUGAAGAAAGUGUUAAGCUUUCUGUUAUCUUAUUAAAUGGUAUCAGACUUGCCUUGCAUAGAGCACAACAGACUUGAUAAAUGCUUAGCUUCGGCUACACUCUGCCAUUUAUUUUCAUACUGUCAGACUUAAUCCAUAACUGCUGUUCAAAGGCAGCUAGCAGGAUAUGAGGGUGCAUCUUGACUCAGUCAGUAGCUGGCCACUGGCAGCCAAAAGCUACAACACUUUAUUGUAAUUCUAACUGCAUCUUGACAUAAUUCAUUUUCAUUUUUUAUAUGCUAUUCUCUAAGGAAAAACAAUUUAUAAUCAUGAUUUAAUUAGCUUUUAUUUUGUGUCAAUUUGUUUAAUCUCAUUGACUAGAAAGCAUGGAUUUUUACUGGGAAAAAAAACAAAACAAACUAAAACAAUCUAGUAUCUGAAAAGGACAUGGGGGGGGAUAAAUGCAAAAUUCAGAUUACUGGAGUUAAUAUGAAGCCUGUGAGGACAUCUUUUACGUUGAAGCGCAGAGUGAAAUCAGAGAAACUAGAUAUGGAAGAAUAGCAGAGGUCUGAGAGGUGCAGAAAAAAAAAAUGCACAGAAGAGUUAUUCUGAAGCAGAAACAAAGGAAAGAACUCCUUGCUACCUCUAGUGCCAGAGCAUAAAGAAUGCAUUGUACUUGAUGGGCACUUCAACCACAUCCAUCAUCCCCGGACUGCAGCUCAAACCUAGCAGUUUGGCCCAUUCAUUUGCAAGAACCUACACACCAAGGGACAGAGGAAAAUGUUCUGCAACAGAGCAAAGGCCUUAGCACUAUAGUAGGUUGCUUGGAAAGUUUUAGUAUUAAGAUUAGAUUGUAUUUUCUUACUCUAUGAUGUUCUAUUGCAAUACUUCUUCCUAAAGCAGAAUUCCUUCAACUGAAAGUACACAUGAGCACAUUAAUGGUAUUUUAUUUUAUUUUUUUCCAAACAAGAAUCAUCUUCCUAAGCACAGCUCUGGAGAAGAGUUAUUUAAGCCAAUAGUUUUCAGUUUUCCAUUGAAAUUAUACUGAAUGGUAACCAGUCAUCCACCAGCUGGCAGAAAGAAGAGUUUUCAAACAAGUCUUCUAUGAUAGAAAACAAGGUAUAUUCUGAGAAUAUUCAGUCAAUUCCCAAAUGAGUCAUGGGUAAAAGAAACAAAGAAAUAAAACGAUGUUCUUUCAGUACACUUCCAAACUAUUUAGGGCAGUGGACUGCUCCUAACCCUGGUAAGGACGUCAAUGUUGAAAGUGGCACGAGUGUUGUACGUACGUUUCAGGGGUGGAACUAUGUCACUAUGGUUGUAUCAAAUUUUCCAGCUACUCUACCGUAGAGGGGAAAUGUUCCCAAUAGCACAUUAAAUGGAAUAUUUCAACAUUUCAUCAGGCAUAUUUAUUUAGAGACCUUAUUUACUGUGAAAACAUGUUAGAAGAGAAAACAAAGACAAGUAAGUGUUCCUGGAUUCUCCUAUUCAUCAUUAGAAGCCAUCUGAAUUGCAAAGAUGCCACUCUCUCAAGCAGCCAUUCCCUUUAUGCCAUAGGCUUUUGAAAAAAAAUCUUAUUACAGCAUCUGAAUCUGCUACCCUGUCUGCUUAUGGGUACCAAUCAGGAGGGCUACAGCUACCUAACAGUAGUAGUAAAGCCCAUACCUUGGUCAAAGUUCUCCAGCAAAUAUUCUAUAUGCUCCUUAUCUUCAGUUACAUACAGCAUUUGACCAUGCUGCCAUAAAUCUGUAAAGCAAUUCUGAUUAAAUUACCCUGUCUCCAACUAGUCUAUUUUAUAUAUUUAUAUAAAUAUAAAUAAAUAAAUAUAUAUAUACACACAUAUAGUCUAUUGGUAUAGCUACCAAAUACCCUGCCAGAAGGACACCAGUGAUGGUACCAACAAUUUGUUGUGCAAAAAGAUGAAUGGGAAAAACAAUUUAAACCCAUUUAUGCAGACAGAAAAUAAUAAUAAUAAAAAACGCAGAAUUUAAGGGACUGUGCUGUAUAUCAAGAAUAUUGAUUCACAGAAAACACAAGCUCUUUUUUCUCCUCAUGGUUACUCUUUCAUCAGCAUAGUUACAGAAGAGCUAUUCUGAAAACUGAACCAAUUGAUAACCACUGUUGCAAAACCCACUUAAAAAGUUGGUGAUGGACUAGAAAAAUGGAGCAGAGGAUACAGAAGUAGCAGCACUAAGCUGCGAGCAGCAUAGCAGUGUGAAGAUCUAUUCCCUGCCUAUUCUCAUUUAUUGAGGCAGAAUGGUGAAAGGAGUCCAAAACUAAGUAUUCACAUUCAUUACCAGGGGAGAAGAGGGGAAAAAGGAAUUUUCCUUUCACUUCACUUGAUUUCAGGAGUGAUUAGGUUCAGUUGUGUCUCUUAAAUUGCUUGGUAAGUAUUCUAUCUCUGUCAUUUCUAUAAAAGGGAUAACACAUUUCAUUGCAGCGUUUUCACUCAAAAGAGACUGGAAUUGUAUUAAAAAAAAAACCACAAAAACAGGGAGGGGGGCAAGGUUGUUUUUUUUUUUUUUUUUUUUUUUAAGCUUAUUUCAAUACAGUGGAGUAACCUAUAGUCGCCUUGCAUGCAAAACUGUAUGAAGAAAUUGUGGAAAUCCAUUGAGUAAACAGUUAAUAUUAAAAAUACAUACUGUUUCAGAUGCUGGUUUGUUUAUAAGAUACAACUGCAACACCUUUAGCUGUGAUUGCUUUCAUCCCAGAGACUGAAUUAAAGAAUGAUUUAUUAGGGUAUAAAAUAUUAUGUCCCAACUAACUAUAUUCUUUGAGACAGUUCCAAACUUCAUUUUAGACAAAACAGAAGAAAUAGGGAAUAAAUAACAAAAAUUCUGGGACAGAAACUCGAAGAGCAUUGUAUUUGCAACAAUUUCCUAAUGCAAAUUCAAAAAUUGACAGUAUAUAUUAAAACUGUAUUCCCUAAUCAGCCCUGCACAACAGCUUCAACUACUUAUUAAUGUGUGAUGACCUCACACCUUCUCACUUAACUGAGAGACAAAAACGCCAGCAAGGUUUAACAUCAUCAGGCCGCAGCCUCAGCACCAUGGUCCAACUGCGGGCAAUCGAUAGCAUGUGCUUAGGGAAGAGAAUAGGAACAGGUCAAACAUGAAGUAAUUGUUCUCAAAGCCACUAAUACUUUGCAGAUCAGACCCAGAGGAGAUGUUUUAGUAUUUAAUAACCUUCAAUUGAUUUCUCUUUCAUGAAUUUGUCAGCUCACACCAAACAUGUAGACAUUCUCUUUGUCAGCUCAAACUCAGAUGAGCUUUUUUUAUGCAACUGGUGCUCGAACAUGAGCCCGAUAUAUUGCUUUGUUGAGUGUCUGAACACUGUUUGCAUAAAGGGCAGAUCAGACAUUAGAAAAGGCUGUUUUAUGAUUUUAAGGAUGCUUUCGCAUUUAAUAAAUAAUGGGCAUAUAUUUAAUAUAUACAGGCAAAUUUGAUAUUAUUGACCUAUCUCAGAUACAGGCUCCAAAUUCUUCAAUACAUUCCUAACAUGGAUUUUGACCCCAGCUUCAGGCUGUGUUCCCAGCACACAGUACCUAUUUGAUCACUCAAAUCUUUUUUCAAGUCUGAGGAGAGAACAUUAAUAUAUGAUUUUCAGUCUAAACACUGUGUUGAGUUAGUAGGCACUAUUUUGAAGAAAUAGGAAACAAAAUACUGAUAUUUCACUAGUAACCAUUCUUUGGAAUACUCAAAGAAAAGAAAUCCUACUUACCAAUGGACGAGGAAGUAUUUAAUCUUAUCUACUCAUAAUAAACACCACAUCACCCAUUUCCUUGACUCAGAUGCAGUAAUUUGAAAUAGAGAAUUUGAAAUAAACAUAGUCUAGUUUUCACUUCAAAAUUUCAUAUUAUCAAGUAUCGUGGGUAUGAGAAAAAUCUUUUUGCUUAAGACAUGAUUCCGAUUAGCUGUCAGAACUGCCAAGUCAAAGAGUUGCUUCCAUUUUUUCAUGAGAAAUUCAUUAAAAGUAAAUGAAUUCAGAAUCAGGCUCACAUGUAUCAGAAUGGUUGGUUCUGAAGUCACACAGUUGUACCAAUACUAAACCUUUAAAGUAUAUCGUAAAGGUCAAUAGAUAAAACAUUGGGAAGUUUUACUCAUGGAACCAUUUAAUUUGCUACUGCAAAUGAAUUCAACUGCAUUUUACAAAAUACAUAGCUGCUUCUCUUUUUGCAAUUAGAGAUUCCUAAUAAUAUAGUGAAAGCUUCUUAAUCAUUGCUCAUUCUAGCAUAAAGUAAAUCUUGCUGUAUUUGAAGAGAACCCAGUCAUCUUAACAGCAUCCAUUUUUGUUCCUUUCUAUUUUUACAAGAUUAGACUACUUAAUAAACGCUACCAUAUUUGGCUGCAGUAGAAGUGUGAAGUAGAAUAAAAUUUUCACAGCGGAUUAUAUGUCUGGGACAAAAUUCAUUUCUGUAAUUAGGUUUAGUUCUGUUGCCUAGGUUUACAGAAAAGUCAAAGUUUUUUUUUUUUUUUAACCAAAUAUUCCCCUGCAGAAUUUUAUAUAUAUACACACACACACACACGCAGUUUAUAUAUAAAUAAAUACAUAUAUAACAAUAUAUAUAUUUAAUUCUGCAGGGAAAUAUAUAAUAUAUAUAAUUAUAUAUGUAAAAUAUAUAAAAAUAAAUAAAUAAAUAUAAAUAAAGCAUGGUUAGAGCCAGGCCUAUUAUCUGGAUAUUUGCCAGAAACAUUGUUCUGGCGGUUUUCUUAGCUAACAUUAUGCCAGUUUGGGGGAAAAUAAAUAGAAAUACUCAGCACCUAAAUAGUUAUAAUUUUAAUCGCAAACAGUGAAGACACUAGGACAGCCCUGGAGUGCUCGCAUACACUCAUAUUCAUUCAUAAGAGGACUCAGAGAAACUCCAGCAAUGGUCUCAGAUACUGAGAGUUCGGAGUUAAUAAUAAUAAUUAUUAUUAAUAAUAGCCACACCUUUAGAUCUCUGUUGCAGAGUGGGACUGUGAGCCCUCUGGACAUCCUCCCAAAUCCUAAGAAACUGAGCGAUACGUUCUUUUUAAUCCAAGCUUCGUUGUCUUUAACAACAAGAAUGUGUUGGGCAAAUUGAUGGAGAAAUGAAUCUAUUUCAAUGUGUUCUUUGCUAUGCUACAGUGCUUUUUAAAUGGUGUCUGAACAGUUGGUCACAGAUUUAUUUACGUUUUCAUGUAAAGAAAGAAAAUAUUAUCAUUUUCUAUAUGGGAAACUGUUUCUCUAAUUAUUUGGCUCCUCUUUCUGCCACAUAAACACAGCAAUUUGCACCCCUCUCCUUCAACUGGCUGCAAUUAGCAGCUACAUUGCAAUAAGCAGAUUAUGUUAAUUAAAAACUCAAAACUAUGUAAACAAAGGGAAAGCUGACUAGCCAUUUUCUAUUUUUGCCAAGUGGGAGGAACACAAGAGAAAUUAGCACCAAGCUUAAUUUUGCUGUUUAUAAUUCAAGAUAUCUGUAUCAAAUAGAAGCAUUUUAAAAGUAUUCUUCUAUAAUCAUUUGUGUCUCUCUGUACUAAUUGAAUCCCAUUGACAUCUGCAUACAUCACAAAAAAAUAUUCACAACAUCUAAAAAGGUGUUGCGUGCAAGCCUGUUCCAUAUCACCUACUGAACUGUUAUAUUUAACAGAAGUUCCCUUCCAAGCCUGAAUUAAACUCUGAAAAAUUCAUAGCUAAGGAUAAAAGUACAACUUGGUUUUGCUUCUUCGGCAAAAAUUGUGAGCAAACUCUGGUAUAAGCAUUACCCAACAGACAUGAAUAAAUUGUGAAGUUUUAAGAUGUUGCUACAGUUUCAUAAAAGCCAUAGUUUAUGCUGCUGCUGAAAUUCUUGUUUCUGUUCUUCUGUUUUCCAAGCAGGAUUGUUUAAUGGUGUUGGGAGGAGUGGGAGACAGAAGUGGAUUUUAUCAGCUGGCUGCGAUGCUCCCAGUGCUCCCCCAUCACCAUGGGUUGGUUACCUAUCGGCAUCACACACUAAGGAGAUAUUACAGUAACACCAGCAAACAAAUGUCAUGCACAGAAAGACUACAUACAUAUAUAGGAUUUGUUGGCUAUGCCUGUGAACUUGCCAUUAAAUAGACUUUAGGGAAAAAGAAACAGAUUGUAAGACUACAGCCCUCCUCCAUUUUUCUAUUAAUAAUCUAUCCACGUACAUGGAGAAGACAGAAUAUUUCUUUCUCCAGGUUUGCACUACUAGAUACUGUUGAUCAACUGCAAAGAGGAAAAUAUGGGAAAUGGUCACAGCUUUGGACUGUUCCUAUGGAUUCUUUUUUAAAUUAAAAAAAAAAAAACAAAACAGAAUAGGAGUGGAAAAUUAUACAGAAAUAGAUAUUGGCUCACAUCAUCCGGGACCAGGCUUCCAGAGUGGGCAGUACAAAACUAUUUUUUCAGACUAUUGUUUCAAUUACAUCCUUGAUCCAAACUGCUUCUGGAUCAAGAAGAUUCUCAGAAGAUGGAUAAGUUAUUCAUAGACCUCCUGGGAUGUCACAUAAUGCUAAGUAGAUAGGAAAGGACAACAAGAGCACGAGCACAGGAAACUUGAAGAGGGAAGAAAUUUAUUUGGACACUUUGUGAUAUUUUUCACCUGCUGUCUUUCAGCCAUUUACAGAUAGUGAGAAUAGUGAAGUGCUUCAUGUAUGCUAGGUUUAAAAAAAAAAAAAUCUGUUUUAAGGGCAACUCAGAUUUCCCAUCUCCUGUUCCCCUGCAGAGCUCCCAGCCGGUAGGAGGGCUGCUCAAAAUAAAAGUGCAGUUGAUCAUUUCUCUUUUCAUAUUUCCACUAUUUUCCUUUUGGAGGCAUGAACUUUAAAUGAGCUGCUGUACAAGCUUCUUGGGGUCCAAAUAGAGGAAAUCACAUCCACCACAGAGACAAGCACAGCAGAAACCCCAAAUAUGACCAUUAUGUUCAACUCAGCAGUCUUUUUUCCUAUUGGUAGGUUUCUGAUACAAGCUUAGCAUCAAACCAAGCUGUCAAAACCAAUGAAAUCUAUUUCUGUGGCACUGAGAGAGCUCUUGAUGAAAGUCAAUCAGUUUAGGAUUUUUUUUUUAUUAUUUUAUUUUUUUAGAGUACCUACAGUCAAGACAGGGAAGAGUGGGUGCUAACAGAAAUGCUGUCUUCUCUCUUUUUCUAGGAUUUAAAGAAUACGUGCUAAAUAAAUCCCCUUAUUCUGCAAACAGUACAUACAGCUGCUUGCUAGCAGUGAUGUUUCAGUCUAUUUGCUGAGUGUCUUGUUCCUUAGCAGAAUUAACAGUUUUGCCAAAUCUUUUCUUUUGAAGGAUGAUUUAGAUCUUGAUGGGACUUUGUUUCUGUGUAAUGAAUGGCAGCACUCAGGCUUCUGAGUGAGAUGAUUUUUUGUUUUCAUACUGAAAAGGAAGAACCUCAAAGGAAAUGGAAAGAAUGACAAAUGAGAGGAAAGACAACACGGGUAAUGCCUAUGAAACUGGCUAUUUUUUCACUAUUUAAGUUUUCACGGGAUUUCCAGUACAAAUACACACUUAAUAGCAGUAAGAUACUACAAUAAGUGCUUGACUUACUGCUUUUUACCUACACAGACAGCAUUUUUGAAGCUUUCUAGGUAACUUAGUAUAGUUUAUGAGACCAUUCUACAACCUUAUCUAGUCCAGCAAUGUUUUUAAUCACAAUUUAAAGUUUCAUUUCUUUUUAAAGGGUUCUAAAUAUCUCUUUGAUUCCCAUUGAAAAAAACAGACAGACAAACUAACAAAAAGAACCAGCCAAGGCAGAAGAAAAAUACAGCAAUAAAUACGUGUUUGGUGGUAUUAUAAAUCAUUAAGUGUUCCUUGUAUGGACUUCCCCAGCCUGGAAGCUAACUAUAGCUGUUUAAGGAUUAUCAUUUUACAAAAAGGUUUACUUCUGCAUUUUAGUUUAUUCUCUGCUAGAGGCAUAACAAAAGAAAUCUUUUCCACAGUCAGUUAUUAAAAUUGUAUGAAAAAAGAAUGACUUAAAUAUUGACCUUGCCAAUACAAUCAAGUAAAGAUGAGCUAAAAGUGAAUCAAUCUUUCAAUCCCACAAAAAAUGUUUUAAGGCUUUUCUUUUUAUUGUCUCAAGCUCACUUUUAAAGACCUUAGUUUAUGACACUGAAACGCUUCAUGUAAUCACGAAGAGAAAAAUGGAAAAAGAAUAAAACAAUGGUUAUCUACUUCUGAAACACUGAAUCAGUUUUUAUGGUUUGUUAACUCAAGAGCAAUCUGUACUUUUUUUAAAAAACAGAUUGUUACUUAAUUUUUCAAUAAAAUAAACCUACCAGCAAUUUUCUCAUCCAAUAUAAAUCAGACUGAUAUAUCACUUACCACUGGCACUUUCUCCCUUUUCAGCUGAUGCUGCUCAAUUUUGCCCACUGUUAAUAUAUAUUAUGUGUUGUUUUCAGACUUAUCACCAUUACCAGUCUAGCUUCUGAUCUCUGAACUGCAGUCAGGACUCAAGUCAGUCUCUCCACAUGGGGAAAAAAGGUACUUAAAAAUGUCAUCUAAACUAUCAACAAGCCUAACUACUCAAUAUAUUCUGCAGACAAAGAACAAGCACAGGGUAAGUUAUGCCACUAAUUUAGGUUUUAAUGCUAAUAUCGUUGGAUUUACAGUAGUCCAAGGAAUUAUUAAAUUAACCAACAAUUACCCUUACCUCAAAAAUAUUCACAUAUUUUACAUAAUUUUGUUUAGCCACGCACAGUGAUAUUAUUUCAAGCUCUCAGUUUAGCAAAUAAAUCUAUUUAUAAAGCCAAAUGUUGGACCAUAGGAAUAUUUGAGUUUCACACAAUGGAGGGUGGGUUUUUAUAUAUAUAUAUAUAUAUAUAUAUAUAUAUAUAUAUAUAAAUCCAUUGGGAAUUACUUUAAGGCUACUUAAGUAAGUGAUUUCACAGGGAAGCAUUUAGAAGUUAGAGAUAGAUGUUCCACUGAAAGUUAACACUAUCCAUAGUGCAUUGUUUCUUUAUGCAGAUCAGUUAUUAAAUUAUCACAUAGUUUUGCCCCUUUCCUGGAGUAGGAAUCCUUUUUAAUAAAGUGGAAACCCAAAAUCAGCUGUUCUUGCUGCUCAUCCCAUCAGGUUGUAUUCACAUGCAUGCUAUAUGUGAAAUUCCUCAGAGACUGCAGCAUUUUCUUGUUUGUAAGGAAACAUUUUUCUAUUUUUGAGAAUUGGGGUGAGGUAGGAUUGGCAGAGAAUUAUACAACCAUUGUUAUUUUCUUUCCACUUGGAAUAUCUGCCCCUCCAGAAGUGAUAAAGAAAUCCAAAGAGAAGAUGUGAAAAGCUCAUCUUCAGCGUGACAUCCCUCAGUGACCAGAAUUUUGAGCUGACAAGGACAGAAACUCUUGUGCACGUGUACCUGCCUAACACCGGCCAUAGCUCUUGCAUGCUGGGUGGAGCCCACACAAUAUGACAUGAAAAAGGAGUGAGCCACACAGGGAAGACAUUUUCAUUUACGUCAGAGCCCAUUGCUGAGUGGUGAGGAAUGUACACCGGGGGAUGAGCACCAGCAAGCAUCUAGUGGCUGCCAGGAGGGAAGCAGCACAUAAACUGUGAGAGUCACCCAUCACUAAGACAACCAAGCUUGUGGGACAAGAACUUGGAAUGGUAUAGGAUUGUAUCUGAUGUGGGUUUCUUCAAACACAUUUAGGAAGAAAAUGCAACUGAAAAUGGCAAAUACAAAUCCAGGUACAGGAAUGAGAGGCGAAACUGAAAUUCAUGGAUUAUUAAGUCCUGAAGGUAUUUACUUCUCAAAUUUUUUGCUAAUAAAAUCUUCAUUUCACUGGAGCAUUUACAUAAACUGUUCUGAAAGUAAUGCCUCCAAUUUAUUUUGGUUAGACUGCCCUUUCUGCUGCCAUCUGUCACAGGGGAACAAAAUGUAAUGGAAUAUUGCUGGAUAGGUUCAACCUCCACCAAUACCUGCCUCUGAUAUCGUGAGC
ensembl:lncRNA